rnacentral:lncRNA from 1 species
UUACAAGCCAUAAAAAUGGCAUUGGCACGGCAAAAAUUUGAAAAUGUGGCUAAACCCACCUACCACCCGAUCGAUCCCCGGCUUGCGCAUCCUGCCUCUCCGGUCGACUGAGCGCCCGCACGCUCGUUCUGUGGGUUGACUUAGGCAUAGGGAGUUCAUUCCAUGUCUAAGCCCCAGUCGAAACGAGGGUUGCGACAGCUGGACCGGCAGCAGGAUCGGUAGCACGCAGAAGGGAUCUUCGACUUACGCAUUAUGCCCCUCCGAUCGGCUCAGCAUCCGCACGCUCAUUUCGUGGGUUGACUUAGGCAUACGAAGUUUAUUCCAUGUCUAAUAAGGUCCAAUCGGGCCGNNNNNNNNNNNNNNNNNNNNNNNNNNNNNNNNNNNNNNNNNNNNNNNNNNNNNNNNNNNNNNNNNNNNNNNNNNNNNNNNNNNNNNNNNNNNNNNNNNNNNNNNNNNNNNNNNNNNNNNNNNNNNNNNNNNNNNNNNNNNNNNNNNNNNNNNNNNNNNNNNNNNNNNNNNNNNNNNNNNNNNNNNNNNNNNNNNNNNNNNNNNNNNNNNNNNNNNNNNNNNNNNNNNNNNNNNNNNNNNNNNNNNNNNNNNNNNNNNNNNNNNNNNNNNNNNNNNNNNNNNNNNNNNNNNNNNNNNNNNNNNNNNNNNNNNNNNNNNNNNNNNNNNNNNNNNNNNNNNNNNNNNNNNNNNNNNNNNNNNNNNNNNNNNNNNNNNNNNNNNNNNNNNNNNNNNNNNNNNNNNNNNNNNNNNNNNNNNNNNNNNNNNNNNNNNNNNNNNNNNNNNNNNNNNNNNNNNNNNNNNNNNNNNNNNNNNNNNNNNNNNNNNNNNNNNNNNNNNNNNNNNNNNNNNNNNNNNNNNNNNNNNNNNNNNNNNNNNNNNNNNNNNNNNNNNNNNNNNNNNNNNNNNNNNNNNNNNNNNNNNNNNNNNNNNNNNNNNNNNNNNNNNNNNNNNNNNNNNNNNNNNNNNNNNNNNNNNNNNNNNNNNNNNNNNNNNNNNNNNNNNNNNNNNNNNNNNNNNNNNNNNNNNNNNNNNNNNNNNNNNNNNNNNNNNNNNNNNNNNNNNNNNNNNNNNNNNNNNNNNNNNNNNNNNNNNNNNNNNNNNNNNNNNNNNNNNNNNNNNNNNNNNNNNNNNNNNNNNNNNNNNNNNNNNNNNNNNNNNNNNNNNNNNNNNNNNNNNNNNNNNNNNNNNNNNNNNNNNNNNNNNNNNNNNNNNNNNNNNNNNNNNNNNNNNNNNNNNNNNNNNNNNNNNNNNNNNNNNNNNNNNNNNNNNNNNNNNNNNNNNNNNNNNNNNNNNNNNNNNNNNNNNNNNNNNNNNNNNNNNNNNNNNNNNNNNNNNNNNNNGCCAAAACUUUUCGAAAAAUUUUAUAAAAUCUCGAACCGUAAAAGUUUCAAAAAUCGUGAAAAAUAGAAAACGAGUCGUCUUGCCAUUAAACUUCCCGUGAAGGCUUAAGGGACCAUUGUAUGAAUUUACAAGCCAUAAAAAUGGCAUUGGUGUGCAGAAAUCUAAAGAUUGCCUAAACCCACCUAACUCUAUAAUCCACGGCUUGCGCAUCUCGUCUCUCUCCGACGUAGUGCCCGCCACCCGUCCGCCCACUCGUUUCGUCAAUUGGCUUAGGCAUACGGAGUUCAUUCCCAAUCUAAGAUCAGAUCGGACUGAGGGUUGCAGCAGCAGGAUCAGCAGCACGUAGAGGAGGACCCGAUCGAUCCCCGGCUUACGCAUCCCACCCUCUGGCAGGCUUAGCACCCGCACGCUCAUUUCAUGGGUUGAUUUAAGCAUACGAAGUUCAUUCCCAAUCUAAAAUUAGACUGGACCAAGGGUUGCGGUAGCUCAUGCUGGGCUCGGGCAUGUGCUGGUGCCGUAUUUUUCUUCGUUGGGGCACCAUUGCCGGAGCAUCGUCAGAGAACCUGACCGGCGGCAUUGGGGUUUCGACGAUCGGGGGGGCCGGGGGGGUGCGCACAUGAUGUGCGAUAGGUGCUGAUAUUUGGUCCUUAUAUUGGCCCCUUAUCCCUCAUCAAACCUUGAGAACUCACACCCCUUUAAAGAGCAUUUAAGAUUUUACAGGUUUGCUGCCAGUAGCAUUUAAAGUGUCUGAAAUAGGGACACUUUUUUCAAAUGGUCACAAAAUCUUGCACAAUCCAGUUUUUAGCUGAAGUUUUUUGUGCAUGCCAACAAAAAUACAAGGAUCACAUCUGUCAUAAUGUCUAGAUCCGAGGAUCUAUCGCUAGACAUUGACUUUAGGGAGUCACCACUAAUCUUUUUUUAUCUAGGUGCGAUUGGCCACCUAAGGAAUCUAUCCUUUCAGGGAACAGCUAAGCUUAAGGGUCCCUAAAAGAAUAGGUUCAGGUCUACAAACCAGAAUAGGGUUCGGGAGUUCGAUUACGUGUGAGGAAGGUUAUAGCACCCUCACAACGCCCAUUAAAAGAUGGUACCAGCUUAAAUUUGUGUUAUCCAAAAGCCUUAAAAUUUUACCAAGUAAUUAAUUAUUGGAAAUUAUUCUCAAUUAACUCUAAUAUUUUUAGUAGAAAAUUGAGAAAAUUCCCUCACCUCAAGAGUAUGCAAGAAAAACUACUGUUUCACUUACAGAGGCUCCGUCGUCAGAUUAGUUAAAGAAAAAUCAAAAUCAAAAUCAAAAUAAAAAGGAAGGAAAUGAUGGUUGUUCUUGUGUAGGGAAAAUUGAUACUUUCAACUUUUCCUCAAAAACCCUUUUUUUUUAAAUUUUAUUUUUAAGAAAAAUUGAUACUUUCAACUUUUCCCCAAAAAUAUUUUUCUGGAAAUUUAUUUCUAAGGAAAAUUGAUACUUUCAACUUUUCCCCAAAAAUGUUUUUUUUUUUGGAAACUUUGAUUUUCAAGGAAAAUUGAUACUUUAACUUUUCCCUAAAAAUAUUUUUUUUGGAAAUUUAUUUCUAAGGAAAAUUGAUACUUUCAACUUUUCCCUAAAAAUAUUUUUUUUUGGAAAUUUUGAUUUUUAUUUAAAGAAAACAGAAUAAUAAAAAAAUAAAUAAAAAUAAAAAAAUAAAGAAAAGUAAAACAAAAAUAAAAAUAAAAUAAAGAUAAAAAGAAUAUUAAAUAAACUUAAUCUAAUAAAAAAAAAACAAAGAAGCAAAUAAAUGAAAAUAAAAAAAAUUCAAAAAAAAAAACCUGGAGCGACUCGGAUCGCGGCUCAGCUCGGCUCAGCUCAAGGAAGAGAAACGGCUCAGGGGGGUGGCUUGGAGCUAGGCUCGGCUCGGCUCGACUUGGAGGGGGCAGGCAUGCCCGGGUUAGGAAGCGGGUCGACGCUCGGGUCGGGUCAGGUCACGGUAAAACGCGUGGAUCCUCUGGGUCACUUAAGGCCAAAACGACGUCGUUUUGAGAGGGUAUAAAAGGCACUUCCCUUUGUUUUUCGACAGAACGCUCCUCCCCUCUCUCUCUCUUCUUCUUUUUUCCUCUCUCUUCUCUCUAAAAGGUCAAAGAACUUCGGUUGAAGAUUCAUCAGAUUCUGGUUUUGUCAUCGAAAUCUGGGUUUUUCCACCGGAAAGUUCGUCGAAAGUUCACCGAAAGAUCACAAGUUUCUGGGAUUCUUUACCGGAAACUGGGCAGGUCAUCGAAAACUUCAAGGUUGGCCAGAAUUUUUUCCAAAAAAUUCAAACUUCGCCGGAAAAUUCAUCGGAAUCUGGAAUUUUCCAGAAAUUCCCAAAAAAAAAAUCACCAAAAAUUCUCAAAAAAUUUCUUCUCACUCCCAGAACACUCCUAAACCUUUUCUUAGCUCUCUAUACGUCCCUAUUCUCUCAAUCAGUAGCUUUUGCUUACUGUUUUCUGUGUGUUCUUCAUUCUGUUCCAGAGGUCCCUUUUAUAGGGAUUGAUCAGGAGUUCCUGAUCAAUCCCAAUUCCUCCUUGGACGGGAAUUCAAUCUUUGAAUCCAACUGGACUCUUCUGAUUGAAUUCCCAUUCACAGUGGAAUUCUUCAACUUUCAAUCCCAGCCCUCAAAAAAAGAAAAAAAAAUAAUAAUUGGAUAAAUAAAAAAAUCAGAUAAAAUUAACAGAUAAUUAAAAAAUAAAAUAAAAUAAAUCCAAAAAUAUUACCAAAAAAAAUUAUAAUAUAAUAAUAAAUAUAUAACUAUAUAAAUAAAUUACAUAUAAAUAUUAACAGAGAAAAAAAUAAAUAAAUAAAGAUAUACAUAAUAAUAAUAAUAAAUAAUAAAAUACCUAAAAUACAAAAGAAGGAAAAAGAAAGAGAAAAAAAAAUACAAGGUAAAAAAUUGAAUUGGGCUAUACCCAUUUGGGCCAGGCCCAAUUGAUCUGGGCCUGGACCCAAUUGGGUGUCUACAGCUGCCCCUCUUUGCACAUUUUCUGUGAAACAUAAAUUACGCAAAGACGUAGACACCCAAUCAAGACUCAACUCAACAUUGUCAUUUUUUAUUUUGUUUUGUGUUUUUUUUUGUUGUUUUUUUGUUGUUUUUUGUUUUUUUUUGUUUUUGACCAAAGCUCAUCUAAACCGAGGCACCACGACUUUGGAAAGUAAAUUGCUCCUUUAAACAGAGGCACCACGAUUUUGGAAAAGUAAAUUGCUCCUCUAAACAGAGGCAACACGACUUUGGGAAAGUAUAUUGCUCCUCUAAAUAGAGGCACCACGACUUUGGAAAUUAAAUUGCUCCUCUAAACAGAGGCACCACGACUUUGGAAAAUAAAUUGCUCCUCUAAACAGAGGCAACGAAACUUUGGAAAGUAAAUUGCUCCUUGACAAUCAUGUCCAAAGGAGUUUGAAAGUUGUGUUUGAAGGAAUUUCAGGAGAUUAUGCCUAAAGGUCUUAUAAAUCAACCCUGAUACCAGAAGACAUCCUAUUUCAAGGAUUAGGGACUUACCUGACAAGCUCUUUCUUUUUCAAUUUUACAAAAUAUCUUCAUAUCUGUCUUCUCCAUGUGGGAUGUUGGAACACCCUUGCUUCUUGAGUUUAUACACUAUACUUUCCUGAAAGUAGUGUAUGCUAUGCAAAUGCAUAUGAAUUUCAAUGCAUGCUAUGCAAAUGUUGGCCAAAUAAUUCCUAUUCAAUGUAUGGUACUCAAGUUUCUCAAGCUCUUCUUGGGCAUCAAACCUUUUGAUUCUUCAGAGAUCCAAUUACAUUGCUCUUCUAAGAUCAAACCAAUGUAGCUCUUAAUUGUCUCUUCCACUCACCUUCUUCCUGUAACAAAAAUCUCUUCCCGGAUUCAAUGUCUUAAUCAGGAACUGAACAUCUUGAUUCUGCCUUUAUCACUCUUAAUUUAUUCAAUGUAAUGUAAAAAUCUUUUUAUAUUGUUAUUCAUUCACCAAUCAUUAUUUCAAACUCAAAAAGUGAGAAUGCAUUUGCACAUUUCUUCCAUUGUGGGGUACUAAGAAGAAAGGGAUAUGAAUGGUAGGGAAAUAGUCAUCAGAAAAAGGCCCAAAGAAUGAAAUAAAACGUUUCUUAUUAGAAAAAUGUUGGCAAACUUUGGCCAAGAGAGAAUUACAAGGAUAGGUAUGGGGACAAAGCCUAAAAUGAACAAUCAGAUAAUCAUGAUAACACAUCUAAAAGUUUUUUCUGAAAACUCAACCCACUAAUGUAUUUAACAACUUGGAACUUUCCGAAUUUGCUAACCUCCAUAUCAGCAACUUUCAAAUUCGAUGUUGUAUUCUCCUUAUCUAAGCCACCUUUUCAGGUUUUUAACUUAGACAAACCCCCUAUGACUCAAACCGCCCUUUUUGGGUUUUCGCCUUGAGUCCUCCUUUUUCAAUCACUUUUUCAUUUUUUAUUUUUUUUAUUUUUUGUUUUUUUCAUCAUUUUUAAUUUUUUCUCUUUUUUUUUAUAAUUUUUUUCAAGCAUAGUACUUCUUCACAGCAUCAAAAUUUACAGGAUGGGGUAAAUCAUUUCCAUCCAUCUCAGUCAGUAUCAGCACUUCACCCGAAAAAGCUCAUUUCACCACGUACGGCCCUUCCCAAUUCGAAGUCCAUUUUCCUCUACUAUCGUGUUGGAUUGAGAGAAUUCUUUUCAAAACCAACUCUCUUCUCGAAAGCAACGAGGUCGAGUCUUCUUAUCAUGAGCCCUUAUCAUUCUUCUUUGAUAUAGCUUACCAUGGCACAAUGCAGUCAAUCUCUUUUCUUCUAUGAAAUUUAACUGCUCAUAACGUUCUCAAAUCCAUUCAGCUUCUUCCAACUCAACUUUUUUUAAGACUCUCAAAGAGGGGAUCUCUACUUCUACUGGUAGUACAGCUUCAAUCCCAUAAACCAAAAAAAAUGAGGUUGCCCCAGUAGAGGUACGAACUGACGUUCUAUAUGCAUGCAAUGCAAAUGGCAACUUCUCAUGCCAAUCUUUGUAAGUCUCGAUCAUCUUCUCCAAAAUCUUCUUUAUGUUUUUGUUGGCUGCCUUAAUUGCCCCAUUCAUUUUCGGACGGUAUGGUGCCGAGUUAUGAUGCUUGAUCUUGUAUUGAACACAUAUUUCUUGCAUCAUCUUACUAUUUAAAUUCUUAGUAUUGUUUGAAAUAAUUUUCUCUGGAAGUUCAUAUCUACAGAUGAUCUCUUUUUUUAUGAACUUGCAAACCAUGGAGCGUGUCACAUUUGCGUAUGAUGCUGCUUCUACCCAUUUUGUGAAGUAAUCUAUCAUCACAAAAAUGAAUAUGUGCCGGUUAGAGGCCUUUGGGGUGAACGGACUAAUGACAUCCAUGCCCCACAUUGAAAAUGGCCAUAGUGGUGCCAUAACAUGUAAAACAGAUGGCGGAGCAUGAAUCUUAUCAGCAUAUAUCUGGCAUUUAUGACAUUUACGAGCAUAGUCAAUGCAAUCAUUCUCCAUCGUCAACCAAUAAUAUCUCGCUCUCAUAAUCUGUCUUGCCAUCAUAUGUCCACUAGUAUGUGCCCCACAUAUUCCAUCAUGCACUUCUUUAAUGAUUUUCUUCGCUUCAGUCUCAUUAACGCACCUCAAUAAUACUUGAUCCUUGCUUCUUUUGUAUAGGACAUCCUCAUUCAGGAAAAAACUCAUAGCCAAUCUUCGGAUGACCCUUUUAUCAUUUUCUGUUGCAUGAACUGGAUACUGUUGAUCUUUGACAUACUAUAAGAUGUCAUAAUACCAGGGUUUUCCAUCUUUUUCCCCCUCUACAUUAGAACAAUACGCUGGUAUAUCCUUAACAUCUAACUUGAUGGGUUGAAUGUCGGUAUUAUCAUUAAUUCGAAUCAUUGCAGCCAGAGUAGCCAAUGCAUCAGCAAUCACAUUCUCUUCUCAGGGUAAGUGAUCAAGCUGGACAUCUUCAAAUUAUUUCGUCAGCUCUAGAAUAUACUUAUGAUAUGGAACGAGUUUUGAAUCUCUUGUCUCCCAUUCUUCUUUCAACUGAUAUAUGACUAGAGCUGAGUCUCCAAACACUUUCAGUACUUUCACUCUUCUAUCUAUAGCAGCUUGCAGGCCCAUGACACAUGCCUCAUAUUCAGCAAUGUUGUUUUGCAAUUGAAAUUUAACCUCGCUGUUACAAGACAAUAUUGUUCUUCAAGAGAAAUCAGAAUUGCUCCAAUUUCAUGCCCCAAGGCAUUAGCAGCUCCAUCAAAGUACAUUCUCCAACAUUUUUCUACAUGCUCCCCUUUCUCUGUUUAGGAAAUAGUCAUUAAGUCUUCGUCAGGGAAUUUCAGCUUCAUCGACUCAUAGUCUUUAGUAGCACGAUCUGUAAGAAAUUCUAUUAUAGCGCCCCUUUUUAUUAUUUUUUGGCUCACAUAUAUAAUAUCAUAUUUCGAGAGCAUUACUUGCCAUCUAGCGAUUCUUCCAGACAAAGAAGGCUUCUUGAAGAUAUACUUAAUGGGAUCCAGUUUUGCUAUGAGCCAUGUAGUAUGAUAGAGCAUAUACUGUUUGAGUCUUUUGGCAGUCCACGCUAAUGCACAACACAUUUUCUCCAAUGAAGAAUACUUGAAUUCAUAUUCAGUGAACUUUUUACUCAGAUAGUAAAUAGCUCUCUCCUUUCGAUUGGCCUCGUCUUGCUGUCCGAGCACACAUCCCAUUAAACUUUCACAUACAGUUAGGUAUAAGAUUAAAGGUUUCCUGGAACAGGUGGCACCAAUACUGGAGGGUUCGAUAAAAAUUGCUUAAUUUUAUCAAAUGCCUCUUGACAUUUUUCAUUCCAUUUUCUAGGAUUAUCUUUACGGAAAAGCUUAAAGAUGGGAUCACAUUUGUAGGUAAGUUGAGAGAUGAACCGAGAAAUGUAGUUCAAUCUCCCCAGAAAACCUCAAACUUCUUUUGGUGUGUUGGGAGGUGACAAAUUCUGGAUGGCCCGUAUCUUAUCGGGAUCAACUUCAAUUCCUUUUUCACUGACCACAAAGCCUAGCAACUUGUCUGACUUUACCCCAAAGGUGCACUUGGCUGGAUUUAAUUUGAGCUAAAAUUUUCUCAACCUCUCAAAUAACUUUCUGAGGCUGGUGAUAUGAUCUUCAUUCUCACAAGACUUUGCAAUCAUAUCAUCUACAUACACUUCAAUCUCUUUAUGCAUCAUGUCAUGGAAGAGUGUUACCAUGGCUCUUUGAUAUGUUGCCCCAGCAUUUUUUAACCCAAAAGGCAUGACUUUAUAACAGAAGGUUCUCCAUAUGGUCACAAAAGUAAUCUUUUCCAUAUCCUCCGUAGCCAUUUUUAUCUGAUUAUACCCCGAGAAACCAUCCAUAAAGGAGAAAAUCGAAUGCUUAGUUGUGUUAUCUACCAAUGUGUCAAUAUGAGGCAAAGAAAAGUUAUCCUUUGGGCUGGCCUUAUUCUAGUCUCGAUAGUCCACACACAUUCGUACUCUUCCAUCUUUUUUAGGAAUCGGGACUAUAUUGGCUACCCAUUCUGGAUACUUAGCCACUUGUAGAAAACCUGCAUCAAAUUGUUUCUUCACCUCUUCUUUAAUCUUUAGCAGCAUUUCAGGCUUCAUCCAUCUCAGUUUCUGCUGAACUGGCUUACAUUCUGGCUUUAGGGGCAAUCUGUGCUCCACUAUCUCUAUGCUCAAUCCUGGCAUAUCUUGGUAAAACUAAGCAAAUAUAUCUACAAAUUCUUGAAGUAGUUCUACCAAUCGUUGCCUAUCUUCAGAUGAAAGUGAAGUGCCCAUUCUGACUUCUUUCUUAUUUUUUUCAUCUCUCAGAUUCACUAAGUCCACUACCUCUUGAUGAGGCUCAAUUGGCUUAUUCUCUUGUUCAAUCAUUCUCAUUAUGUCUGGAGGCAUAACAUAUUCUUGAAAAUUUUCUUCAUUGUCAAGUUCAUCAGUGCUAAUUGAAUUCUCAAAGCUAACCUCUCGAUUGUUAUCAUGAUUAUCUUCAUGUUCAUUUAAAGACCUGCAAUUGAAUGAAAUGGGAUAUGUUGGCAAGAUGUGCUUGAAGAGAUGGAAAUAAUGAAGACACAAGAAGAAAUGAAUGGAAAUGCAUACUUCUUAAUUUUUAUUAAAAAUAAUAAAUGAUGAAUGGCCCGAAAAAAGAUCACCCCAAUGCCUUGGGCAAUAGCUAUUGGGAUGUUACAAUUACAUUGCAUCUAAAUCAAAAGUCAAAGGCAUUUUGAUGGCACUCCAAUUGUUCAGCUCAACAUUUGGUAGACAAAGGCGAACCCACUCCUCUUGAUUAACCCCUACUUCAUCUUCAAUAGCAUUAAUGGCUAACUGGGUAAAAUCGUCUUCCACACUUUUUCUUGCAUCUGGGUACAUGAAUCCUCCAGGUCUGAAGGUUUCAUACAAGUGUGGGAUAAACAUCAAUCUUGCUGUCUUUAUUGAUGGCCUUCUUUUGACUUCCUACUCUGCCAUCUCAUAACCUAGGCCUGCCCUGUCGCUAUUGUCCACUAUUGUUGGAGGUUUUUAAUUCCCUGUAAAUUUUUGCCUAGCCCAAGUCCUGGACACCAGCCUUUGUUGAUGACUUGGCUCACCACUAUCUUUGAAAAAGGCUGACUUUGAAAUCCUUCACCUACAGUAUUGACCAAUUCAAAAGAUCAAUAGGAGCAUUCCAAUGCUUCUUCAGCAGCCUCUACAUAUGGAGUGUUCAAUGGUUGGGUCACUAGCAUAUCUUCUUCCCUAACUACCACUACUAAUUGACCUUCCAUAUUGAACUUGAUCUUCUGAUGUAAAGUAGAGGGCACAGCUCCUGCCAUGUGAAUCCAUGGCCUUCCUAAUAGACAGCUGUAGGAUGGAGAUAUAUCCAUCACUUGAAAUUUUAUAUUGAAGGUGCAUGGCCCAAUUUGUAAAGGCAUCUCAAUAUCCCUUAGGACUUUUUUUCUGGUCCCAUCAAAGGCUCUCACAAUCAUCUGACUAUCUUUCAUAUGAGAAUAAUCAAAGGGUAACCUUGUCAAAGUUGACAUAGGCAUGACAUUGAUGGCAAAACCAUUAUCGAUAAGGACUUUGGCUAUGAUAUGGCUCUUGCACUUAACUAUGAUAUGCAGAGCCUUGGCAUUUUUUUUCCCUCCAAAGGGAUCUCAUCAUCACUGAAUGAAAUGUGAUUUGGCAUAACUAGAUUUCCAGCCAAGUGGUUCACAUAUUCGACAGACACGUUAUCUGCCACAUAUGGGUGAUUCAACACUUUUAGUAAGGUAUUUCAGUGUGGCUCUGAGUUCAGCAACAGUGAUAAUAAUGAGAUUCAAGCUGGCAUUUUAUUCAACUGUUCCACAACUGAAUACUCACUAUGUUUUACCAGUUUCAGGAAUUCACAAACCUUUCUUUUUGAUACUGGCUUUGGCUGAUCUUCUUCAAGCUCUAUCUCUGGAUUAUUCUGUCUUUCUCUUUCUUUAGCCUUCUCUCUUCUAGCAUUCUCUAGCAUUUUUGGGGUGUAACAUCUCUCACUUCGAGUAAUGCCUCCUACAAUAGUAAUAUUGGAAGCAUCGACUUUGGAGACCUCUUUUUUCUAUCUCUGAACUACAGUGUCAUAGUCGUAUCUUUAAGGUACAGCUUUAUCAUCUUUAUAUGGGAAAAGAGUUGGGACUUUAAAUGUUACUGGCCUGAGGAGGAGUUUAUCUAUGACUGACUUUGGUUUGUUCCCACACUGAAUUGUCACUGGUUUGGGAAACAGCUUUUCAGGCCUAUCAAUCAUGUAUACCUCAGCAUUUUUCAAGUCUUCUUUUUUUUUCAUAGACCUCCAUCUAAUAUGAAUCCAAGAGUUUUUGCACCUCUUGGUAAAACCGCUCACAGAUCUCAAUGGAAUGGCCCAUUGCCCCACUAUGAUACUUACAACUAGUACUAGCUAUAUAUGUUCCAUGAUAGCUGUGUGGACUUACCAGUUGUAUCAUGUCUGCUUUUCGUAAAACAUCGAAUAGCUAACUGAGAGGUGUCUUAAUAUCUGUCACUUUCUUCUUCACAUGGCGCUCCUGUUCUUCACCUAUAGCAUUCACAUUAUGAUUCGAUAAAGGAUUGCCACUAACAUUUGGCACAGCCAUCCCUCCAGUAUCAAAGCAGAUCAUCCCAUCCUUGAUCAACCGUUGCACUUUAUGUUUCAGGGUAGUGCAAUUUUCGGUAGAGUGACCAGCAAUCCCAUAAUGAUAGUCACAGUGGGCAGUGGGAUCAUACCACUUGGGGUAAGGUGGCUUGAGGGGUUCCAAUUUACUUGGAGCAAUCAGGUGACUGUUGUAGAGCUUCUUAUAUAAUUCCGUAUAAGUCAUGGGAAUAGGGUCAAAAACAGGUUUCUCACGAGUGGUUUGUUGCUCUCGCGAGCCACCAGCAGGGUUAGUUGGGCGGUUUUGUGGUCUUGAGGUAGGUUGAAUGUUAGGACUAUACAUGGUAUUUUGGGGUCUAUGAGAGGUUUGAUAGGUUUGGGGGUAUGGUGGUUGUGUAAACGGUUGGUAUGGGUGAAAGGAAGUGUUAUUUACAGUGGGGUGAUAUGGCAGAUAUUCUGGUGGGGGGUAAGGUGAAUAACCUCUAAAUUGUUGUCUAUCAAAGCUCACAACCUGAGCUUUAGUUUCUUUCUUCUUUGGGACCCUUUUGCUAGAUGCUUCAUUUCCUUCUAGCUUGCCAUUCUUGAUGGCACUUUCAAUGAUUUCUCCCAAGAUUACCAUAUCAGUAAAAUUUUUUGUUGCAUUUCCUAUCAUCUUUUCAUAAUAGGGAGAUUUUAAAGUGCUAACAAAUAGCACUGUAGUUUCUUUCUCGGUCAGAGGAGGCUGUACUUGAGAAGCAAUAUCCCUCUACCUCUAGGCAUACUCUUUAAAGGACUCGUUUGACUUUUUCUCCAAAUUCUGCAAAGACAAAUGAUCUGGGGCCAAAUCGAUGAUAUGUCGAUAUUGACUGAUAAAGUCAUGUGCCAUAUCACUCCAAGAGCGAAUGCGAGUCCUAUCCAGCUGAACAUACCAUCUGGCUAUAGAGCCAGUAAGACUGUCUUGGAAAACAUGCAUCAAGAGUUUCUCAUCAUGAGCAUGAGCUGCCAUCUUCCUACAAUACAUGGUGAUGUGGGUUUUGGGGCACUUUGUAUCGUCAUAUUUUUCAAAUUUUGAUACUUUGAACUUAUGAAGGAUAACUACAUCAGGAACUAGGCAGAGCCCAGUAGCAUCAACUGACCCAUAAAAGCUAAAUCCUUCCACAGCCCUUAGCCUUUGCUCUAGCAUGCUAAUCUUAGAACUUUCCUCAGCUUCCACCCUCAUCUUUUCCUUCUCCUUCUCUUUUAAAUCAUCUAGAUCAAGAAUUGGUUUGCUGUCUUUUCAGUGAAGAUAGGAUUUAUAUAGCUAUUAUACUACCUUGGGUUAAAAGUUGAUGGCAUUCUAGGAUAUGUUGGAUAUGCGAAGUGUUGUGGCGGGACCUCUUGAGUAGACUGGGCUUGAGGUGGGCCAAAACUUGAAGGGUACAAAGGGUCAGCCACUUCUUGCUGGCUUGUACUUUCUUCAACUCCUUUUCUUUUAUUCAUGUUAUUAAGAGCUUCCAAAAUCUUGCUUAGCUCACUUUCACUCCUCUCCUGGGCUUUUUCUAUCUUUUCAAAUCUUUGGGAAUUUUCCUGCUCCAUUUGCCUUGCUCUGAAUCUUGUGUUGAAUUGAUGGGCAGGGUUUUCGCUAGAUGGAGCUAUCCUGGAACCUUGAGUACCAUAUCUCAGAAUUAGUAUAUUUGCAUGAUCAUCACAUGGUUACUUUGUUAAGUGUAAUGAAUGAGAAUGCAAUGAAUGAAAAAUGCAUGUAUGCAAAGAACAUUUGGCUUAAAACGGUAUUCAACUAAAAAAUUUUAUUUAUUCUAAAAAACUUUGAUCUACAUUGAGUUUAUCAUCCUAGAAUUAUAACCAUAAAAUUGUUUGAUCUGUUCAUACUGGGCCUUGGCUUCUUCUAUGAAGUUCAAGAGACGUUGUCCAUGUUCUCCUACUGGGGCCAUCACUUGUCUUAAUGCCUCUGCCUCUUCCACUAUCUCUCUUGCCUUACACACCCCUUUAUGAAUUUGGGUUGUUAAGUGCUCAAUGUAUUUCUACCUUCCUUGGUUCUCUCUUUUACCAUACCAGACUUGGUAUGAUAAUUCUCUAUGUUCUCUAACCAAUGCAGUGAUGUGGUCUCCUUGUUCAUCCAACCUUUGACUUAACCUGCUCAAAUAACUGUUUAGCAUGUUAAUUUUUGCCUGUGCUUCCGUACUUUCUUCUUCCAAUUCGACAUAAUCUUGCUUCAGUCUUGUAUUUUCCUCAGUCAGCUCGGUAAUGGUUAUCUCUUUGGCUCUUUCUCUCACACAUAGCCUCUUAUGCUUCUGGUGUAACCUUGCUAGAUCUUCAGUAGCUGUAUCUCGUUCUCUAGCAAUCUUGUGAACUUUAACUUCAUAAUUUUUGGCUCUACCUUUCCACUAGGCUUUUUCUUCUUGAAGUUCUUGAAUCUCUUUCUUUAACUUGAUCUUUUCAAACUCAAAUUCUUUUGUUGCCAGCUCUAACUCUGAUGGUGUCUCUUCAAGUUUUUCUUCUGUUGGUGGUUGAGAGAUUUCAUAAGUGAAUACCAUUUCUUGUCUUCUCUUUGUUCUCCAAACCAAGUAACUUGGGGUGCCUUUUUCAGUGAAUGGUCCAAGACUCACUCUUUGGGGAUUUUUCCAUGCUUUGAUCAUCUCAUUCAUCCUCUGAAAUGCUUUGAUCAUCUCAUUCAUCCUCUGAAUAACUUUUCAUCACAAGGUGCUAAUACUGAUGAAGAACAGACUAAGCUUUCAUUGGUGUCCAUGAAAAAAUUUGUUAAAGAUCAUUUUUUAGGCAAAUGUUCUCUAUGCAACUUUAUGAUAUGCGCAUGAACCAAUGUGAAAGGAAAAAAAGUUUAGUAUACCCAGAAAAAGAAUAAAUAACUAAAUAAAUUUAAACAUCACACAAAGUAAAAGGGAUGAAUCCUAUGCUUUUGGUUAAUUCUAUCAGGGAAGAGUGAUGGCUCUAUCUAUAGGUUAGGCACUCUUAAAGUUCACUAUAUGCGGUUUUAAGGUCAAAGUCUAAAGGUCCUCAAAUUGUUCCUUACAUCUUUGUCCAUCACAGACUAGUAAGGCACUCUAAUCCUCACCCAUUACAGGCUACAAGCGAAAAAGGUUCAAUUUGAGUGGGAGUAUUUCGCUAGCCACUGUGGAGGCAUUAGACCUCACGAAAGCAAUAGGUACUUUACUCCCUUCUAGAGGGACGGAGCUCGGGUGUAGAGCUCAUGUUAUGCACAUGCACAUGAAUGACAUAAUUAACAAAGUAAAUAAACAUGAAUGAACAAUAAUACAUAUAUACAAAAAGGUUCAAUUUUAUUAGGCUUUUGGACAACACAAAUUAUUUGCUGGCUUGACUCUCAAAUUCCCCAGUGGAGUUGCCAAGCUGUCAUAAUGUCUAGAUCUGAGGAUCUAUCGCUAGACAUUGACUUUAGGGAGUCGCCACCAAUCUUUUUUUAUCUAGGUGCGAUUGGCCACUUAAGGAAUCUAUCCUUUCAGGGAACACCUAAGCUUAAGGGUCCCUAAAAGAAUAGGUUUAGGUCUACAAACCAGAACAGGGUUCGAGAGUUCGGUUACGUGUGAGGAAGGUUAUAGCACCCUCACAACGCCCAUCAAAAGAUGGUACCAGCUUAAAUUUGUGUUAUCCAAAAGCCUUAAAAUUUUACCAAGUAAUUAAUUAUUGGAAAUUAUUCUCAAUUGACUCUAAUACUUUUAGUAGAAAAUUGAGAAAAUUCCCUCACCUCAAGAGUAUGCAAGAAAAACUACUGUUUCACUUAUAGAGGCUCCGUUGUCGGAUUAGUUAAAGAAAAAUCAAAAUUAAAAUCAAAAUAGAAAGGAAGGAAAUGAUGGUUGUUCUUGUGUAGGAAAAACUGAUACUUUCAACUUUUCCCCAAAAAUGUUUUUUUUUGGAAACUUUGAUUUUCAAGGAAAAUUGAUACUUUCAACUUUUCCUCAAAAACCCUUUUUUUCGAAAUUUUAUUUUUAAGGAAAAUUGAUACUUUCAACUUUUCCCCAAAAAUGUUUUUUUUUGGAAACUUUGAUUUUCAAGGAAAAUUGAUACUUUCAACUUUUCCUCAAAAAUACUUUUUUUUUAAACUUAUUUUUAAGGAAAAUUGAUACUUUCAACUUUUCCCUAAAAAUAUUUUUUUUUGGAAAUUUUGAUUUUUAUUUAAAGAAAACAGAAUAAUAAAAAAAAUAAAUAAAAAUAAAAAAAUAAAGAAAAGUAAAACAAAAAUAAAAAUAAAAUAAAGAUAAAAAGAAUAUUAAAUAAACCUAAUCUAAUAAAUAAAAAAUUAAAAAAAAAGCAAAUAAAUGAAAAUAAAAAAAUUAAAAAAAAAAACCUGGAGCGGCUCGGCUCGGCUCGGCUCAAGGAAGAGAAACGGCUCAGGGGGCGGCUUGGAGAUCGGCUCAGCUCGGUUCGGCUUGGAGGGGGGCAGGCACGCACGGGUCAGGAAGCAGGUCGACGCUUGGGUCGGGUCGGGUUACGGUAAAACGCGCGGAUCCUUUGGGUCACUUAAGGUCAAAACGACGUCGUUUUGAGAGGGUAUAAAAGGCACUUCCCUUUGUUUUUCGGCAGAACGCUCCUCCCUUCUCUCUCUCUUCUUCCUUUUUCCUCUUCCUUCUCUCUAAAAGGCCGAAAAACUCCAAUUGAAGAUUCACCGGAUUCUGGGUUUUGUCACCGGAAUCUGGGUUUUUUCGUUGGAAGUUCAUCGGAAGUUCGUCGGAAGUUCAUCGAAAGUUCACCGGAAGAUCACCAGUUUUUGAGAUUCUUUGUCGAAAACUGGGCAGGUCACCAAAAACUUCAAGGUUGGCCGAAAUUUUCGUCGAAAAAUUCAAACUUCACCCCAAAAUUCAUCGGAAUCUGGAAUUUUCCAGAAAUUCUCAGAAAAAAAAUUACCAAAAAUUCUUAAAAAAUUUCUUCUCACUCCCAGAACACUCCUAAACCUUUUCUUAACUCUCUAUACAUCCCUAUUCUCUCAAUCGGCCUGGACCCAAUUGGGUAUCUACAACGUCUACCAAGUUUGGGGCCAAAACUCCUUCCGAAAAAUUUUUAAAAAAUGUCGAACCGUAAAAAGUUUCAAAAAUCGUGAAAAAUAGAAAACGAGUCGUCUUGCCAUGAAACUUCACAUGAAGGCUUAAGGGACCAUUGUAUGAAUUUACAAGCCAUAAAAAUGGCAUUGGCACGCAGAAAUAUGAAGUUGUUCGUAAACCCACCUACCACCCUAUCGAUCCACGGCUUGUGCAUCCCGUAUCUCUGGCUGGCGUAAUGCCCGCCCGGCCGCCCGCCCGCUCGUUUCGUCGAUCGGCUUAAGCAUACGAAGUUCAUUCCCAGUCUAAGAUCAGACCGGACCGAGGGUUACGGCAGCAAGAUCGGCAGCACGCAGAGGGGGACCUGACCAAUCCCCAGCUUGCCCAUCCCGCCCCUCUGGCCGGCUGAGCGCCUGUACACUUGUUUCGUGGGUUGACUUAGGCAUAAGGAGUUCAUUCCCAGUCUAAGAUCGGACCAGACUGAGGGUUACGACAGCAGGAUCGGCAGCACGCAGAGGGGGACUCGAACGAUCCCCGGAUUGCGCAUCCCACCCCUCUAGCCGACUUAGCGCCCGCACGCUCGUUUCGUAGGUUGACUUAGGCAUAUGGAGUUUAUUCCCAGUCUAAGCAUACAAAGUUCAUUCCCAGUCUAAGAUCAGACCGGACCGAGGGUUGCGGCAGCACAUGCUGGGCUCGGCCAUGUGCUGGUGCCGCAUUUUUCUUUGCCGAGGCACCAUCGUCGAACCAUCGUCGGAGAGCCUGACUGGCGGCAUUGGGCUUUUGGUGAUCGGGGCGGCCGAGAGGGGAGUGUGCACACAUGAUGUGCGAUGGGUGCUGGUACUUGGCCCUUAUAUUGGCCCCCUAUCCCUCAUCAAACCUCGAGAACUCACACCCCCUUAAAGAACAUUUGAGAUUUUACAGGUUUACUGCCAGUAGCAAUUAAAGUGUCUGAAAUGGGGACACUUUUUUCAAAUGGUCACAAAAUCUUGUACACUUCGAGUUUUUAGCUGAAUUUUUUUUUGCAUGCCAACAAAAAUACAAGGAUCACGUCUACCAAGUUUGGGACCAAAACUCCUUUUGAAAAAAUUUUAAGAAACCCUGAACCGUAAAAAGUUUCAAAAAUCAUGAAAAAUAAAAAAUGAGUCGUCUUGCCAUGAAACUUCACGUGACGGCUUAAGGGACCAUUGUAUGAAUUUAAAUGCCAUAAAAAUGGCAUUGGCACAUAGAAAUAUGAAGAUGUGCCUAAACCCACCUACCACCCUAUCGAUCCACGGCUUGCGCAUCCUGCCUCUCCUGCCGGCGUAGUGCUCGCCCAUCCGUCCGCCCGCUCGUUUUGUCGGUUCGCUUAGGCAUACGGAGUUCAUUCCCAGUCUCAGAUCAGACCAGACCGAGGGUUAUAGCAACAGGAUCGGCAGCACGCAGAGGGGGACCCGAUCGAACCCCGGGUUAAGCAUCCCACCCCUCUGGCCGGCUGAGUGCCCGCACGCUCGUUUCAUGGGUUGACUUAGGCAUAUAGAGUUCAUUCCCAGUCUAAGCAUACGGAGUUCAUUCUCAGUCUAAGAUCGGACCAGACCAAGGGUUACGACAGCACAUGCUGGGCUCGGGCAUGUGUUGGUACCGUAUUUUUCUUCGUCGGGGCACCAUCACCGGAGCAUCGCUGGAGAACCUGACUGGCGGCAUUGGGGUUCCAACGAUCGGGGGGGCUGGGGGGUGUGCGCACAUGAUGUACGAUGGGUGCUGGUACUUGGCCCCUAUAUUGUCCCCUUAUCCCUCAUCAAAUCUCGAGAACUCACACCCCUUAAAGAGCAUUUGAGAUUUUACAGGUUUGCUGCCAGUAGCCAUUAAAGUGUCUGAAAUGAGGACACUUUUUUCAAAUGGUCACAAAAUCUUGUACACUUUGAGUUUUUAGCAGAAUGUUUUUGUGCAUGCCAACAAAAAUUCAAGGAUCACGUCUACCAAGUUUGGGGAAUAAACUCCUUCCGAAAAAAUCUAAAAAAAUCUCGAACCGCAAAAAGUUUCAAAAAUCAUGAAAAAUAGAAAACGAGUCAUCUUGCCAUGAAACUUCAUGUGAAGGCUUAAGGGACCAUUGUAUGAAUUUACAAGCCAUAAAAAUGGCAUUGGCACGCAGAAAUGUGAAGAUGUGCCUAAACUCACCUACCACCCUAUGGAUCCAUGGCUUGCGCAUCCCGUCUCUCUAGCCGGCGUAGUGCCCGCCCGUCCGCUCCUUCCGUCGGUUGGCUUAGGCAUACGAAGUUAAUUCCUAGUCUAAGAUUGGACCGGACCAAAGGUUACGGUAGCAGGAUCGACAGCACGCAGAGAGGACCCGAUCUAUCCCUGGCUUGCGCAUCCCACCCCUCUGGCCGACUGAGCGCCCGCACGUUCGUUUCGUGGGUUGACUUAGGCAUACGGAGUUCAUUCCCAGUCUAAAGCAUACGGAGUUCAUUCCCAGUCUAAGAUUGGACCGGACCGAGGGUUACGACAGCACAUGCUGGGCUCGGGCAUGUGCUGGUGCCACAUUUUUCUUUGUUGGCGUGCCAUCACUGGAGCAUCACCGGAGAACCUGACCGGUGGCAUUGGGGUUUCGACGAUCGGGUGGGUCGGAGGGGUGUGCGCACAUGAUGUGCGAUGGGUGCUGGUACUUGGCCCUUUAUUUGAAUUUUUUUGUGCAUUCCUACAAAAAUACAUGGAUCACUUCUACCAACUUUGGGGCCAAAACUCCUUCCGAAAUAAUUUUAAAAAAUCUCGAACCGUAAAAAGUUUUGAAAAUCGUGAAAAAUAGAAAACGAGUCAUCUUGCCAUGAAACUUCACGUGAAGGCUUAAGGGACCAUUGUAUGAAUUUCCAAGCCAUAAAAAUGGCAUUGGCACAUAAAAUAUGAAGAUGUGCCAAACCCACCUACCACCCUAUCGAUCCACGACUUGCGCAUCCUGUCUCUCGGUCGGCAUAGUGCCCGCCUUGCCCACUCGUUUUGUCGGUUGGCUUAGGCAUACGGAGUUCAUUCCCAGUCUAAGAUCAGACUUGACCGAGGGUUGCAGCAGCAGGAUCGACAGCCACAGAGGGGGACCCGCCCGAUCCCCGGCUUGCGCGUCCCGCCCCUCUGGCCGGCUGAGCGCUCGCACACUCGUUUCGUGGGUUGACUUAGGCAUACGGAGUUCAUUCCCAGUCUAAGCAUACGAAGUUCAUUCCCAUUCCAAGAUCGGACCGAACCGAGGGUUGCAACAGCACAUGCUGGGCUCGAGCAUGUCCUGGUGCCGCAUUUCUCUUCGUUGGGGCACCAUUGCCGGAGCAUCGUCGGAGAACUUGACCUGCGGCAUUGGGGUUCCGGCGAUCGGGGGGCCGGGGGGUGUGCGCACAUGAUGUGCAAUGGGUGCUGCUACUUGGCCCUUAUAUUGGCCCCCUAUCCCUCAUCAAACCUCAAGAACUCACACCCCCUUAAAGAGCAUUUGAGAUUUUACAGGUUUGCUGUCAGUAGGCAUUAAAGUGUCUGAAAUGGGGACACUUUUUUCAAAUGGUCACAAAAUCUUGUACACUUCGUGUUUUUAGCUGAAUUUUUUUGUGCAUGCCAAAAAAAUACAAGGAUCACGUCUACCAUGUUUGGGGCCAAAACUCCUUCCGAAAAAAUUUUAAAAAAUCACGAACCGCAAAAAGUUUCAAAAAUUGUGAAAAAUAAAAAACGAGUCGUCUUGCCAUGAAACUUCAUGUGAAAGCUUAAGGGACCAUUGUAUGAAUUUACAAGCCAGAAAAAUGGCAUUGGCAUGCAGAAAUAUGAAGAUGUGCCUAAAUCCACCUACCACCCUAUCGAUCCACAGCUUGCGCAUCCCGUCUCUCUUGCCGACGUAAUGCCUACCCGCCCGCCCGCUCAUUUCAUCGGUUGGCUUAGGCAUACGGAGUUCAUUCCCAGUCUAAGAUUGGACCAAACUGAGGGUUGCGAUAGCAAGAUCGACAGCACGUAGAGGGGAACCCGGCUGAUCCCCGGCUUGCGCAUCCCACCCCUCUUGCCGGUUGAGCGCUCGCACGCUCGUUUCAUGAAUUGACUUAGGCAUACGGAGUUCAUUCCCAGUCUAAGCAUACGGAGUUCAUUCCCAGUGUAAGAUCGAACCAGAAUGAGGGUUACGACAGCACAUGCUGGGCUCCGGCAUGUCCUGGUGCCGCAUUUUUCUUCGUCGGGGCACCAUCACCCGAGCAUCGUCGAAGAACCUGACCGGCAGCAUUAGGGUUCUGGUGAUUGGAGGGGCCGGGGGGUGUGCGCACAUGAUGUGCGAUGGGUGCUCGUAGUUAGCCCUUAUAUUGGCCCCCUAUCCCUUAUCAAUCCUCGACAACUCACACCCCCUUAAAGAGCAUUUGAGAUUUUACAGGUUUGCUGCCAGUAGCCAUUAAAGCGUCUGAAAUGGGGACACUUUUUUCAAAUGGUCAAAAAAUCUUGUACACUUCGAGUUUUUAGUUGAAUGUUUUUGUGCAUGCCAACAAAAAUACAAGGAUCACGUCUACCAAGUUUGGGACCAAAACUCCUUUCGAAAAAAUUUUAAAAAAUCCCGAACCGUAAAAAGUUUCAAAAUUGUGAAAAAUAGAAAACGUGUCAUCUUGCCAUGAAACUUCACGUGAAGGCUUAAGGGACCAUUAUAUGAAUUUACAAGCCAUAAAAAUAGCAUUGGCACGUAGAAAUAUGAAGAUGUGCCUAAACCCACCUACCAUCCUAUCGAUCCACGGCUUGCGAAUCCCGUCUCUCUGGCCGGCGUAGUGCCCACCUGCCCGCUUGCUCAUUUUGUCGGUUGGCUUAGGCAUAUAGAGUUCAUUCCCAUCUAAGAUUGGACUGGAUCGAGGGUUGCUGCAGCAGGAUCGGUAGCACGCAGAGGGGGACCCGACUGAUCCCUGACUUAUGGAUCCAAACCCUCUGGCCGGCUGAGCGCCCGCAUGCUCGUUUCAUGGGUUGACUUAGGCAUACGGAGUUCAUUCCCAGUCUAAGAUAGGGCCAGACCGAGGGUUGCUGCAGUAGGAUCGACAGCACACAAAGGGGGACACGAUUGAUCCUUGACUUGCGCAUCCCGCCCCUCUGGCGACUGAGCUCUCGCAUGCUCGUUUCGUAGGUUGACUUAGGCAUACAGAGUUCAUUCCCAAUCUAAGCAUACGAAGUUCAUUCCCAGUCUAAGAUCAGACCGGACUGAGGGUUGCGGCAGCACAUGCUGGGCUCGGGCAUGUACUGGUGCCGCAUUUUUCAUCGUCGGGGCACCAUCGUCGGAGUAUCGUCGGAGAACCUGACUGGCGGCAUUGGGGUUCCGACGAUCAGGGGGGCCGGAGGGGUGUGCGCACAUGAUGUGCGAUGGGUACUGGUACUUGGCCCUUUAUUUGAAUUUUUUUGUGCAUUCCUACAAAAAUACAUGGAUCACGUCUACCAAGUUUGGGGCCAAAACUCCUUCCGAAAUAAUUUUAAAAAAUCCUGAACCGCAAAAAGUUUUGAAAAUCGUGAAAAAUAGAAAACAAGUCGUCUUGUCAUGAAACUUCACGUGAAGGCUUAAGGGACCAUUGUAUGAAUUUCCAAGCCAUAAAAAUGGCAUUGGCACGUAGAAAUAUGAAGAUGUGCCUAAACCCACCUACCACCCUAUCGAUCCACGACUUGCGCAUCCUGUCUCUCUGGCCGGCAUAGUGCCCACCUGUCCACUCAUUUUGUCGGUUGGCUUAGGCAUACGGAGUUCAUUCCCAGUCUAAGAUUGGAUUGAACAGCGGGUUACAGUAGCAGGAUCGACAGCACGUAGAGGGGGACUCAUCUGAUCCCCGGCUUGCGCGUCCCGCCCCUCUGGCCGGCUGAGUGCCCGCACACUCGUUUCGUGGGUUGACUUAGGCAUACGGAGUUCAUUCCCUAGUCUAAGCAUACGAAGUUCAUUCCCAUUCUAAGAUCGGACCGGACCGAGGGUUGCAACAGCACAUGCUGGGCCCGGGCAUGUCCUGGUGCCACAUUUUUCUUCGCUGGGGCACCAUCGUCAGAGCAUCGACGGAGAACUUGACCGGUGGCAUUAGGGUUCCGGUAAUCGGGGGGGCUGGGGGGGUGUGCACACAUGAUGUACGAUGGGUGCUGGUACUUGGCCCUUAUAUUGGCCCCUUAUCCCACAUCAAACCUCGAUAACUCACGCCCCCUUAAAGAGCAUUUGAGAUUUUACAGGUUUGCUGCCAGUAGCCAUUAAAGUGUCAAAAAUGGGGACAAUUUUUUCAAAUGGUCACUAAAUUUGUACACUUUGUGUUUUUAGCUGAAUGUUUUUGUGCAUGCCAACAAAAAUACAAGGAUCACAUCUACCAAGUUUGGGGCCAAAACUCUUUCCGAAAAAAUUUUAAAAAAUCUCGAACCGUAAAAAGUUUCAAAAAUCGUGAAAAAUAGAAAACGAGUUGUCUUGCCAUGAAACUUCACGUGAAGGCUUAAGGGACCAUUGUAUGAAUUUACAAGCCAUAAAAAUGGCAUUGGCAUGCAGAAAUAUGAAGAUGUGCGUAAACCCACCUACCACCCUAUCGAUCCACGGCUUGCACAUCCCGUCUCUCUGGUCGACGUAGUGCCCGCCCGCCCGCUCGUUUCGUCGAUUGGCUUAGGCAUACAGAGUUCAUUCUGAGUCUAAGAUCAGACCAGACCGCGGGUUGUGGUAGCAAGAUUGGCAGCACGCAGAGGGGGACCUGACCGAUCCUCGGCUUGUGCAUCCCGCCCCUCUGGCCGGCUGAGCGCCCACACGCUCGUUUCGUGGGUUGACUUAGGCAUACGUACUUCAUUCCCAGUCUAAGCAUACGAAGUUCAUUCCCAGUCGAAGAUCAGACCAGACCGAGGUUACGGUAGCACAUGCUAGGCUCGGGCACGUGCUGGUGCCAUAUUUUUCUCCGUCGGGGCACCAUCGUCGGAGCAUCGCCGGAGAACCUAACCGACGGCAUUAGGGUUUCGGCGAUCGGGGGGGCUGGGGGGAUGUGCGCACAUGAUGUGUGAUGGGUGCUGGUACUUGGCCCUCAUAUUGGCCCCUUGUCCCUCAUCAAACCUCGAGAACUCACACCCCCUUAAAGAGCAUUUGAGAUUUUACAGGUUUGCUGCCAAUAGUCAUUAAAGUGUUUGAAAUGGGGACACUUUUUUCUAAUGGUCACAAAAUUUUGUACACUUCGAGUUUUUGGCUGAAAUGUUUUGUGCGUGCCAACAAAAAUACAAGGAUCACGUCUACUAAGUUUGGGGCCAAUACUCUUUCCGAAAAAAUUUAAAAAAAUCCCGAACCGCAAAAAGUUUUGAAAAUUGAGUAAAAUAGAAAACGAGUCGUCUUACCAUGAAACUUCACGUGAAGGCUUAAGGGACCAUUGUAUGAAUUUACAAGCCAAAAAAAUGGCAUUUGCAUGCAGAAAUAUGAAGAUGUGCCUAAACCCACCUACCACCCUAUCGAACCACGGCUUGCACAUCCCGUCUCUCUGGUCGACGUAGUGCCUGCCCGCCCGUCCGCUCGUUUCGUCGAUUGGCUUACGCAUACGGAGUUCAUUCCCAGUCUAAGAUCAGACCGGACCAAAGGUUGCGACAGCAGGAUCGACAGCAUGCAGAGGGGGACCCGGUCGAUCCUCCACUUGCGCAUCCCGCCCGUCUGGUCGGUUAAGCGCCCGCACGCUCGUUUCGUGAGUUGACUUAGGCAUACGGAGUUCAUUCCCUGACUAAUCAUAUAGAGUUCAUUCCCAGUCUAAGAUCGGACCAGACCGAGGGUUGCGGUAGUACAUGCUAGGCUCGUGCAUGUGCUGGUGCCGCAUUUUUCUUCGUCGGGGAACCAUCGCCAGAGCAUCGCCAGAGAACCUGACCGGCGGCAUUACGGUUCCGGCAAUCGGGGGGGCCGGGGGGUGUGCGGACAUGAAGUGCGAUGGGUGCUGGUACUUGGUCCUUAUAUUGGCCCCCUAUCCCUCAUCAAACCUCGAGAACUCACACCCCCUUAAGGAGCAUUUGACAUUUUACAAGUUUGCUGCCCGUAGCCAUUAAAGUGUCUGAAAUGGGGACAACUUUUUCAAAUGGUCACAAACACUUGUACACUUUGAGUUUUUAGCUGAAUUUUUUUGUGCAUGCCAACAAAAAUACAAGCAUCACGUCUACCAAGUUUGGGGCCAAAACUUCUUCCGUAAAAAUUUUAAAAAAUCUCGAACAGCAAAAUGUUUUGAAAAUCAUGAAAAAUAGAAAACGAGUCGUCUUGCCAUGAAACUUCACGUGAAGGCUUGAGGGACCAUUGUAUGAAUUUACAAGCCAUAAAAGUGGCAUUGGCACGUAGAAAUAUGAAGAUGUGCCUAAACCCACCUACCACCCUAUCGAUCCAUGACUUAUGCAUCUCGUCUCUCUGGCCGACGUAGUGCCCGCCCGCCCGUUCGCUCAUUCUGUCGGUUGGUUUAGCAAUAUGGAGUUCAUUCCCAGUCUAAGAUUGGACCGGACCAAGGGUUACGGUAGUAGGAUCGACAGCACGUAGAGGGGGACCCGAUUGAUCCCCAGCUUGCGCAUCCUGCCCCUCUGGCCGGUUGAGCGCCCGCACGGUCGUUUCGUGGGUUGACUUAGGCAUACGGACUUCAUUCCCAGUCUAAGAUCCGACUGGACCGAGGGUUGCAGCAGCACAUACUAGGCUCGAGCUUAAGGGACCAUUGUAUGAAUUUACAAGCCAUAAAAACAGCAUUGGGAGACAGAAAUAUGAAGAUGUGCCUAAACCCAACUACCACCCGAUCGAUCCACGGCUUGCGCAUCCCAUUUCUCUGGCCGGUGUGGUGCCCGCACGCCCGCCCACCCGCUUAUUUCGUCAGUUGCUUAGGCAUAUGGAGUUCAUUCCUAGUCUAAGAUCGGAUCAGACCGAGGGUUGUGGCAGCACGAUUGGUAGCACGCAGAGGGGGACCCGAUCGAUCCCCGGCUUAUGCAUCCCGCCCCUUUGGCCGGGUGAGUGCCCGCACACUCGUUUCGUGGGUUGACUUAGGCAUACGGAGUUCAUUCCCAGUCUAAGCAUACGGAGUUCAUUCCCAGUCUAUGAUCAGAUCAGACCGAGGGUUGCGACAGCACAUACUGGGCUCGAGCAUGUGCUGGUGCCGCAUUUUUCUUCGUCGGGGCACCAUCGUCGGAGAACCUGAUCGAUGGCAUUGGGGUUCCGACGAUCGGGGGGUCGGGGGGUGUGCGCACAUGAUGUGCGAUGGGUGCUGGUACUUGGCCCUUAUAUGGGCCCCCUAUCCCUCAUCAAACCUCGAGAACUCACACCCCCUUAAAGAGCAUUUGAGAUUUUACAGGUUUGCUACCAGUAGCCAUUAAAGUGUCUGAAAUGGGACACUUUUUUCAAAUGGUUACAAAAUCUUGUACACUUCGAGUUUUUGGAUGAAUUUUUUUAUGCAUGCCAAAAAAAAUACAAGGAUCACGUCUACCAAGUUUGGGGCCAAAACUCCUUCCAAAAAAAUUUUAAAAAAUCUCGAACCAUAAAAAGUUUCAAAAAUCAUGAAAAUUAAAAAACGAGUCGUCUUGCCAUGACACUUCACGUGAAGGCUUAAGGGACCAUUGCAUGAAUUUACAAGCCAUAAAAAUGGCAUUGGCACAUAGAGGGGGACCCGAUCGAUCACCGGCUUGUGCAUCUCGACCCUCUGGCCGGUUGAGCACCCGCACGCUCGUUUCGUAGGUUGACUUAGACAUACGGAGUUCAUUCCCAGUAUAAGCAUACGGAGUUCAUUCCCAGUCUAAGAUCAGACCAGACCGAGGGUUGUGGUAGCAGGAUCGGUAGCACGUAAAAGAGGACCCGGUCGAUCCUCGACUUACGCAUCCAGCCCGUCUGGCCAGUUGAGCGCCCGUACGCUCGUUUCGUUGGUUGACUUAGGCAUAUAGAGUUCAUUCCCAGUCUAAGUAUACGGAGUUCAUUCCCAGUCUAAUAUUGGACCAGACCGAGGGUUGCAGCAGCACAUGCUAGGCUCGAGCAUGUGCUAGUGUCGCAUUUUUCUUCGUCGGGGCACCAUCGUUAGAGCAUCGCUGCAGAACCUGGCCGACGGCAUUGGGGUUCUGGCGAUAGGGGGGGCCGGGGGGUGUGCGCACAUGAUGUACGAUGGUUGCUGGUACUUGGCCCUUAUAUUAGCCCCCUAUCCCUCAUCAAACCUCAAGAACUCACACCCCCUUAAAGAGCAUUUCAGAUUUUACAAGUUUCCUGCCAGUAGCCAUUAAAGUGUUUGAAAUGGGGACACUUUUUUCAAAUGGUCACAAAAUCUUGUACACUUCUAGUUUUUAGCUGAAUUUUUUUGUGCAUACUAACAAAAAUACAAGGAUCACGUCUACCAAGUUUGAUGCCAGAACUCUUUCCGAAAAUAUUUUAAAAAAUCUCGAACCGUAAAAAGUUUUGAAAAUCAUGAAAAAUAGAAAACGAGUCGUCUUGCCAUGAAACUUCACGUGAAGGCUUAAGGGACCAUUGUAUGAAUUUACAAGCAAUAAAAAUGGCAUUGGCACAUAGAAAUAUGAAGAUGUGCCUAAACCCACCUACCACCCUAUCGAUCCACGGCUUGCGCAUCCCGUCUCUCUGGCCGGCGUGGUGCCUGCCCGCCCGCCCGCUCGUUUCGUCGGUUGGCUUAGGCAUGCGGAGUUCAUUCCCAGUCUAAGAUCGAAUCGGACCGAGGGUUGCGGUAGCACGCAGAGGGGGACCCGACUGAUCCCCAGCUUGCGCAUCCCGCCCCUUCGCCGACUGAGCGCCCGCACGCUCGUUUCGUGGGUUGACUUAGGCAUAUGAAGUUCAUUCCCAGUGUAAGCAUAUGGAGUUCAUUCCCAGUCUAUGAUCGGAUCGGACCGAGGGUUGCGGCAGCACAUACUGGGCUCGAGCAUGUACUGGUGCCGCAUUUUUCUUCGUCGGGGCACCAUCGUCGGAGAACCUGACCGACUGCAUUGGGGUUCCGACGAUUGGGGUGCGAUGGGUGCUGGUACGUGGCCCUUAUAUUGGCCCUCUAUCCCUCAUCAAACCUCGAGAACUCACACCCCUUAAAGAGCAUUUGGGAAUUUACAGGUUUGCAGCCAAUAGCCAUUAAAGUAUCUGAAAUGGGGACACGUUUUUCAAAUGAUCACAAAAUCUUGUACACUUUGAGUUUUUAGCUGAAUUUGUUUGUGCAUGUGAAAAAAAAUACAAGGAUCACGUCUACCAAGUUUGGUUCCAAAACUCUUUUUGAAAAAAUUUUAAAAAAUCCAGAACCGUAAAAGGUUUCGAAAAUCGUGAAAAAUAGAAAACGAGUCGUCUUGCCAUGAAACUUCAUGUGAGGGCUUAAGGGACCAUUGUAUGAAUUUACAAGCCAUAAAAACAGCAUUGGCACAAAGAAAUAUGAAGAUGUGCCUAAACCCAACUACCACCCGAUCGAUCCAUGGCCUGCGCAUCCCGUCUCUCUGGACGGCGUGGUGCCCGCCUACCAGCCCGCCCGCUCGUUUCGUCGGAUGGCUUAGGCAUACGGAGUUCAUUCCUAGUCUAAAAUCAUACCGGUCCGAAGGUUGCGGCAGCAGGAUCGGCAGCACACAGAGGAGGACCCGAUCGAUCCUCGGCUUGCGCAACCCGCCCCUUUGGCCGGCUGAGCGCCCGUACGCUCGUUUCGUGGGUUGACUUAGGCAUACGAAGUUCAUUCCCAGUCUAAGCAUACGGAGUUCAUUCCCAGUCUAUGAUUGAAUUGGACUGAGGGUUGCGGUAGCACAUACUGGGCUCGGGCAUGUGCUGGUGUCGCAUUUUUCUUCGUCGGGGCACCAUCGCCGGAGAACCUGACCGAUGGCAUUGGGGUUCCGACGAUCGGGGGGCCGGGGGGUGUGCGCACACGAUGUGCGAUGGGUGCUGGUACUUGGCCCUUAUAUUGGCCCCCUAUCCCUCAUCAAACCUCGAGAACUCACACCCCCUUAAAGAGCAUUUGAGAUUUUACAGGUUUGCUACCAGUAGCCAUUGAAGUGUCUGAAAUGGGACACUUUUUUCAAAUGGUUACAAAAUCUUGUACACUUCGAGUUUUUGGCUAAAUUUUUUUUUGCAUGCCAAAAAAUAAUACAAGGAUCACGUCUACCAAGUUUGGGGCCAAAACUCCUAAAAAAAUUUUAAAAAAUCCUGAACCACAAAAAGUUUCAAAAAUCACGAAAAAUAGAAAACGAGUCGUCUUGCCAUGAAACUUAACGUGAAGGCUUAAGGGAUCAUUGUAUGAAUUUACAAGCCAUAAAAAUGGCAUUGGCACACAGAGAGGGACCCGGUCGAUCACCGGCUUGCGCAUCUCGACCCUCUGGUCGAUUGAGCACUCGCACACUCGUUUCGUAGCUUGACUUAGACAUACGGAGUUCAUUCCCGGUAUAAGCAUACGGAGUUCAUUCCCAGUCUAAGAUCAGACUAGAUCGAGGGUUGUGGUAGCAGGAUCGGUAGCACGCAAAAGAGGACCCAAUCGAUCCCCGGCUUGCGCAUCCCACCCGUCUAGCCAGUUGAGCACCCGUACGCUCGUUUCGUGGGUUGACUUAGGCAUAUAGAGUUCAUUCCCAGUCUAAGUAUAUGGAGUUCAUUCCCAGUCUAAUAUUGGACCGGACCGAGGGUUGCAGCAGCACAUGCUGGGCUCGGGCAUGUGCUAGUGUCACAUUUUUCUUCGUCGGGGCACCAUCGUCGGAGCAUCGCUGGAGAACCUGGCCGACAGCAUUGGGGUUCUGGCGAUCGGGGGGGCCGGGGGGGUGUGCGCACAUGAUGUGCGAUGGGUGCUGGUACUUGGCCCUUAUAUUGGCCCCCUAUCCCUCAUCAAACCUCAAAAACUCACACCCCCUUAAAGAGCAUUUGAGAUUUUACAGGUUUGCUGCCAAUAGCCAUUAAAAUGUCUGAAAUGGGGACGCUUUCUUCAAAUGGACACAAAAUCUUGUACACUUCAAGUUUUUAGCUGAAUUUUUUUUUUGCAUGCCAAUAAAAAUACAAGGAUCAAGUCUACCAAGUUUGGGGCCAAAACUCUUUUCAAAAAAAUUUUAAAAAAUCCCGAACCGUAAAAACUUUAAAAAAUCGUGAAAAAUAGAAAACGAGUCGUCUUGCCAUGAAACUUCACGUGAAGGCUUAAGGGACCAUUGUAUGAAUUUACCAGCCAUAAAAAUGGCACUGGCAUGCAGAAAUAUGAAGGUGUGCCUAAACCCACCUACUACCCUAUCGAUCGACGGCUUGUGCAUCCCGUCUCUUUGGCCGGCGUAGUGCCCACCCGCUCGUUUUGUCAGAUGGCUUAGGCAUACGGAGUUCAUUCUCAGUCUAAGAUCGGACCAGACCGAGGGUUGCAACAACAAGAUCGGUAGCACGCAGAGGGGGACCCGACCGAUCCCCGCCUUGCACAUCCCGCCCCUCUGGCCGGCUGAGUGCCCGCACGCUCAUUUCGUGGGUUGACUUAGGCAUAGGGAGUUUAUUCCCAGUCUAAGCAUAUGGAGUUCAUUCCUAGUCUAAGAUCGAACCAGUCCAAGGGCUGCGGUAGCAAAUGCUGGGCUCGGGUAUGUGCUGGUGCCGCAUUUUUCUUCGUCGAGGCACCAUUGCCUGACCAUCAUCGGAGAACCUAACCGAUGGCAUUGGGGUUCCGACGAUCGGGGGGCCGGGAGGUGUGCGCACAUGAUGUGCGAUAGGUGCUGGUACUUGGCCCUUAUAUUGGCCCCCUAUCCUUCAUCAAACCUCGAGAACUCACACCCCCUUAAAGAGCAUUUGAGAUUUUACAGGUUUGCUACCAGUAGCCAUUAAAGUGUUUGAAAUGGGACACUUUUUUCAAAUGGUUACAAAAUCUUGUACACUUCGAGUUUUUGGCUGAAUUUUUUUAUGCAUGCCAAAAAAUAUACAAGGAUCACAUCUACCAAGUUUUGGGCCAAAACUCCUUCCAAAAAAAUUUUAAAAAAUCCUGAACCACAAAAAGUUUCAAAAAUCAUGAAAAAUAGAAAACGAGUCGUCUUGCCAUGAAACUUCACGUGAAGGCUUAAGGGACCAUUGUAUGAAUUUACAAUCCAUAAAAAUGGCAUUGGCACACAGAGGGGGACCCGGUCGAUCACCGGCUUACGCAUCCCGACCCUCUGGCCGAUUGAGCACCUGCACGCUCGUUUCGUAGGUUGACUUAGACAUACGGAGUUUAUUCCCAGUAUAAGCAUAUGGAGUUCAUUCCCAGUCUAAGAUCAGACCAGACCGAGGGUUGUGGUAGCAGGAUCGGUAGCAUGCAAAAGAGGACCCGGUCGAUCCCCGGCUUACGCAUCUCGCCCGUCUGGCCAGUUGAGCGCCUGUACGCUCGUUUCGUGGGUUGACCUAGGUAUAUAGAGUUCAUUCCUACUCUAAGGAUACGGAGUUCAUUCCCAGUCUAAUAUUGGACCAAACCGAGGGUUGCAGCAGUACAUGCUGGGCUCGGGCAUGUGCUAGUGUCACAUUUUUCUUCGUCGGGGCACCAUCGCCGGAGCAUCGCUGGAGAACCUGGCUGACGGCAUUGGGGUUCUGGCGAUCGAGGGGGCCGGGGGGGUGUGCGCACAUGAUGUGCGAUGGGUGCUGGUACUUGGCCCUUAUAUUGGCCCCCUAUCCCUCAUCCAACCUCCAGAACUCACACACCCUUAAAGAGCAUUUGAGAUUUUACAGGUUUGCUGCCAGUAGCCAUUAAAGUGUUUGAAAUGGGGAUGCUUUCUUCAAAUGGACACAAAAUCUUGUACACUUCGAGUUUUUAGCUGAAUUUUUUUUGCAUGCCAAUAAAAAUACAAGGAUCACGUCUACCAAGUUUGGGGCCAAACUCUUUCGAAAAAUUUUAAAAAUCCCGAACUGUAAAAGUUUCAAAAAAUCGUGAAAAAUAGAAAUCGAGUUGUCUUGCCAUGAAACUUCACGUGAAGGCUUAAGGGACCAUUGUACUGAAUGUACCAGCCAUAAAAAUGGCAUUGGCAUGCAGAAAUAUGAAGAUGUGCCUUAAACCACCUACUACCCUAUCGAUCGACGGCUUGCGCAUCCCGUCUCUCUAGCUGGCAUAGUGCCCACCCGCUCGUUUCGUCAGAUGGCUUAGGCAUACGGAGUUCAUUCUCAGUCUAAGAUCGGACCAAACUGAGGGUUGCGAUAGCAAGAUCUGUAGCACGCAGAGGGGGACCCACCGAUCCCCGACUUGCACAUCCCGCCCCUCUGGCCGACUGAGCGCCCGUACGCUCAUUUCGUGGGUUGACUUAGGCAUAGGGAGUUCAUUCCCAGUCUAAGCAUACGGAGUUUAUUCCUAGUCUAAGAUCGGACCGGUCCGAGGGCUGCGGCAGCAGAUGCUGGGCUCGGGUAUGUGUUGGUGCCGUAUUUUUCUUCGACGGGGCACCAUCGUCGGAUCAUCGCCGGAGAACCUGACCGACGGCAUUAGGGUUCCAACAAUCAGGGGGGCCGGGGGGUGUGCGCACAUGAUGUGCGAUGGGUUCUGGUACUUGGCACUUAUAUUGGCCCCCUAUCCCUCAUCAAACCUUGAGAACUCACACCCCCUUAAAGAGCAUUUGAGAUUUUACAGGUUUGCUGCCAGUAGCCAUUAAAGUGUCUGAAAUGGGGACACUUUUUUCAAAUGGUCAUAAAAUCUUGUACACUUCGUGUCUUUAGCUGAAUUUUUUUGUGCAUGCCAAGAAAAAUACAAGGAUCACAUCUGCCAAGUUUGGGGCCAAAACUCCUUCUGAAAAAAGUUUAAAAAAUCUCGAACCGUAAAAAGUUUUAAAAAUCAUCAAAAAUAGAAAACGUGUCGUCUUGCCAUGAAAGUUCACGUGAAGGCUUAAGGGAGCAUUGUAUGAAUUUACAAGCCACAAAAAUGGCAUUGGCAGGUAGAAAUAUGAAGAUGUUCCUAAACCCACCUACCACCCUAUCGAUCCACAGCUUACGCAUCCCUUCUCUCUGGCCGAUGUAGUGCCCCCCCGCACGUCUGCUUGCCCGUCCACUCAUUUCGUCGGUUGGUUAGGCAUACGGAGUUCAUUUCUAGUCUAAGAUCAGACCGAACUCAGGGUUGCGACAGCAGGAUUGGUAGCACGUAAAGGGGGACCCGACCGAUCCCGGGCUUGCGUAUCCCUUCCUUCUGGCUGGCUGAGCGCCCGUACACUCGUUUCAUGGGUUGACUUAGGCAUACGGAGUUCAUUCCCAGUCUAAGCAUACGGAGUUCAUUCCCAGUCUAAGAUUGGACCGGACCGAGGGUUGUGGCAGCACAUGCUGGGCUCGGGCAUGUGCUGGUGCUGAAUUUUUCUUCACCGGGGCACCAUCGUCGGAGCAUCGUCAGAGAACCUGACCGACGGCAUUGGGGUUCCGACGAUCAGGAGGCCGGGGGGUUGUGCGCACAUGAUGUGCAAUGGGUGCUGGUACUUGGCCCUUAUAUUGGCCCCCUAUCCCUCAUCAAACCUUGAGAACUCAGACCCCUUUAAAGAGCAUUUGAGAUUUUAUAGGUUUGCCGUCAGUAACCAUUAAAGUGUUUGAAAUGGGGACAGUUUUUUUUAAAUGGUCACAAAAUCUUGUACACUUCGAGUUUUUAGCUUAAUUGUUUUGUGCAUGCCAACAAAAGUACAAGGAUCACGUCUGUGGAGUUUGGGGCCAAAACUCCUUCCGAAAAAAUUUUAAAAAAUCCCGAACCGUAAAAAGUUUCAAAAAGUGUGAAAAAUAGAAAACGAGUCAUCCUGCCAUGAAACUUCACAUGAAGGCUUAAGGGACCAUUGUAUGAAUUUAAAAGCCAUAAAAAUGGCAUUGGCAUGCAGAAAUAUAAAGAUGUGCCUAAACCGACCUACCACCCUAUCGAUCCACGGCUUGCGCAUCCCGUCUCUCUGGCCGACGUAGUGCCCGCCGCCUGCUCGUUUUGUCAGAUGGAUUAGGCAUACAGAGUUCAUUCCCAGUAUAAGAUUGGACCAGACUGAUGUUGCGAAAGCAGAAUCAAUAGCACGCAGAGGGGGACCCGGUCGAUCCCCGGCUUGUGCAUCCUGCCCCUCUGGCCGGCUGAGCGCCCGCACGCUCGUUUCAUGGGUUGACUUAGGCAUACGGAGUUCAUUCCCAGUCUAAGCAUACGGAGUUCACUCCCAGUCUAAGAUCGGACCAGACCGAGGGUUACGGCAGCACAUGCUGGGCUCGGGCAUGUGCUGGUGCCGCAUUUUUCUUCAUCGGGGAACCAUCACCGGAGCAUCGUCGGAGAACCUGACCGACGGCAUUGGGGUUCUGACGAUCGGGGGGCCGGGGGGGUGUGCGCACAUGAUAUGCCGUGGGUGCUGGCACUUGGCCCUUAUAUUGGCCCCCUAUCCCUCACCAAACCUCGAGAACUCAAACCCCUUAAAGAACAUUUGAGAUUUUACAGGUUUGCUGCCAGUAGCCAUUAAAGUGUCUGAAAUGGGGACACUUUUUUCAAAUGGUCACAAAAUCUUGUACACUUCGUGUUUUUAGCUGAAUUUUUUUAUGCAUGCCAACAAAAAUAAAACGAUCACAUCUACCAAGUUUGGGGCCAAAACUCCUUCCAAAAAAAUUUAAAAAAAUCCCGAACCGCGAAAAGUUUCAAAAAUCGUAAAAAAUAGAAAAUGAGUCGUCUUGCCAUGAAACUUCAUGUGAAGGCUUAAGGGACCAUUGUAUGAACUUACAAGUCAUAAAAAUGGCAUUGGCAUGCAAAAAUAUGAAGAUGUGCCUAAACCCACCUACCACCCUAUCGAUCCACGGCUUGUGCAUCCCCUCUCUCUGGCCAGCGUAGUGCCCGCCCGCCCGCCCGCCCGCUCGUUUCGUCGGUUGGCUUAGGCAUACGGAGUUCAUUCCCAGUCAAAAUCGAACUGGAUUGAGGGUUACGGCAGCAAGAUCUGUAGGACACAGAGGGGGACCCGGUCGAUCCUCGGCUUGCGCAUCCCGCCCCUCUGGCAGGCUGAGCGCCCGCACGCUCAUUUCGUGGGUUGACUUAGGCAUACGGAGUUCAUUCCCAGUCUAAGCAUACGGAGUUCAUUCCCAGUGUAAGAUCGAAUUAGACCGAGGGUUACGAUAGCACAUGCUGGGCUCGGGCAUGUGUUGGUGCUCAUUUUUCUUUAUCGGGGCACCAUCGUCCGAGCAUCGUCGAAGAACCUGACCGGUGGCAUCGGGGUUCCGGCGAUCAGGGGGCCAGUGGGUGCUAGUACUUGGCUCUUAUAUUGGCCCCCUAUCCCUCAUCAAACCUUGAGAACUCACACCCCCUUAAAGAGCAUUUGAGAUUUUACAGGUUUGCUGCUAGUAGUCAUUAAAGUGAUUGAAACGGGGACACUUUUUUCAAAUGGUCACAAAAUCUUGUACACUUCGAGUUUUUAGCUAAAUUUUUUUGUGCAUGCCAGCAAAAAUACAAGGAUCACGUCCACCACGUUUGAGACCAAAACUCCUUCCAAAAAAUUUUUAAAAAAUCCCGAACCGUAAAAAGUUUCAAAAAUUAUGAAAAAUAGAAAACGAGUCGUCUUACCAUGAAACUUCACGUGAAGGCUUAAGGGACCAUUGAAUGAAUUUACAAGCCAUAAAAAUGGCAUUGGCACAUAGAAAUAUAAAGAUGAACCUAAACCCACCUACCACCCUAUCGAUCCACUGCUUGCACAUCCCGUCUCUUUGGCCGACGUAGUGCCCGCCCGCCCAUCCGCUCGUUUCGUCGGUUGGCUUAGGCAUACGAAGUUCAUUCCCAGUCUAAGAUCGGACUGGACCGUGGGUUGUGGCAGCAGGAUCGACAGGAUGCAGAGGGGGACCCGAUUGAUCCCCGACUUGCGUAUCCGGCCUCUCUGGCUGGCUGAGCGCCGCACGCUCGUUUCGUGGUUGACUUAGGCAUACGGAGUUCAUUCCCAAUCUAAGCAUACGGAGUUCAUUCCCAGUCUAAGAUCGGACCACACCGAGGGUUGCGGUAGCACAUGCUGGGCUCGGGCAUGUGUUGGUGCCACAUUUUUCUUCGUCGGGGCACCAUCGUCGGAGCAUCACCGGAAAACCUAAUCGGCGGCAUUGGGGUUCCAGCGAUCGGGGGGGCCGGGGGGGUGUGCGCACAUGAUGUGUGAUGGGUGCUCAUACUUGGCCCUUAAAUUGGCCCCCUAUCCCUCAUCAAACCUCGAGAACACACACCCCCUUAAAGAGCAUUCGAGAUUUUACAGGUUUGCUGCCAGUCGCCAUUAAAAUGUCUUAAAUGGGGACACUUUUUUCAAAUGGUCACAAAAUCUUGUACACUUCGAGUUUUUAGCUGAAUCUUUUUGUGCAUGCCAACAAAAAUACAAGGAUCACGUCUACCAUGUUUGGGUCCAAAACUCCUUCAGAAAAAAUUUUAAAAAAUCUCGAACCGUAAAAAGUUUCAAAAUUUGUGAAAAAUAGAAAACAAGUCGUCUUGCCAUGAAACUUCACGUGAAGGCUUAAGGGACCAUUGUAUGAAUUUACAAGCCAUAAAAAUGGCAUUGGCACACAGAAAUAUGAAGAUGUGCCUAAACCCACCAACCACCCUAUCAAUCCACGGCUUGCGCAUCCCGUCACUUUGGCAGGCGUAGUGCCCGCCCGCCCGCCCGCUCAUUUCAUCGGUUGCCUUAGGCAUAUGGAGUUCAUUCCCAGUCUAAGAUCGGACCAGACCGAGGGUUGGGCAGCAGGAUUGGCAGCACGUAGAGGGGGACCCGAUUGAUCCCCGGCUUGUGCAUCUCGCCCAUCUGGCCGACUGAGCGCCCGCGCGCUCAUUUCGUGGGUUGAAUUAGGCAUACGGAGUUCAUUCCCAGUCUAAGCAUACAGAGUUCAGUCCCAGUCUAAGAUCGGACCAGACCGAGGGUUGUGGCAGCACAUGCUCGGCUCGGGCAUGUGCUGGUGCCGCAUUUUUCUUCGUCGGGGCACCAUCGUCGGAGCGUCACCGGAGAACCUAACCGACGGUAUUGAGGUUCCAACGAUCGGGGGGCGGGGGGUGUGCGCACAUGAUGUUCGAUGGAUGCUGGUACUUGGCCCUUAUAUUGGUCCCCUAUCCCUCAUCAAACCUCAAGAACUCACACCGCCUUAAAGAGCAUUUGAGAUUUUACAGGUUUGCUGCCAGUAGCUAUUAAAGUGUUUGAAAUGGGGACACUUAUUUCAAAUGGUCACAAAAUCUUGUACACUUUGAGUUUUUAGCUGAUUUUUUUUGUGCAUGCAAAAAAAAAUACAAAGAUCAUGUCUACAAAGUUUGGGGCCAAAACUCCUUUUGAAAAAAUUUUAAAAAAUCUUGAACUGUAAAAAGUUUCAAAAAUCGUGAAAAAUGGAAAAUGAGUGCUCUUGCCAUGAAACUUCACGUGAAGGCUUAAAGGACCACUGUACGAAUUUACAAGCCCUAAAAAUGGCAUUGGCAUGCAAAAAUAUGAGGAUGUGCCUAAACCAACCUACCACCCUAUCGAUCCACGACUUGCGCAUCCCGUCUCUUUAGCCGGCGUAGUGCCCGUCCGCCCGCAUGCUCGCUCGUUUCAUCGAUUGGCUUAGGCAUAUGGAGUUCAUUCCCAGUCUAAGAUCAGACCGGACUGAGGGUUAUGGCAGCACAUACUGGGCUCGGGCAUGUGCUGGUGCCGUAUUUUUCUUCGUCGGGGCACCAUCGUUGGAGCAUCGUCAGAGAACCGGACCGACGGUAUUGGGGUUCCGGCGAUCGGGGGGGCCGGGGGUGUGCGCACAUGAUGUGCGAUGGGUGCUGGUACUUGGCCCUUAUAUUGGCCCGCUAUCCCUCAUCAGACCUCGAGAACUCACACCACCUUAAAGAGCAUUUGAGAUUUUACAGGUUUGCUGCCAGUAGCUAUUAAAGUAUUUGAAAUGGGGACACCUUUUUCAAAUGGUCACAAAAUCUUGUACACUUUGAGUUUUAAGCUGAAUUUUUUUGUGCAUGCCAACAAAAAUACAAGGAUCACGUCUACCAAGUUUGGGGCCAAAACUCCUUCCAAAAAAAUUUUAAAAAAUCUCGAACCGCAGAAAGUUUCAAAAGUCAUGAAAAACAAAAAAUGAGUCGUCUUGCCAUGAAACUUCACGUGAGGGCUUAAGGGACCAUUGUAUGAAUUUACAAGCCAUAAAAAUGGCAUUGGCAUGCAGAAAUAUGAAGAUGUGCCUAAACCCACCUACCACACUAUCGAUCCACGGCUUGCGCAUCCCUUCUCUUUGACCAGUGUAGUGCUCGCCCGCCCGCUCGUUUCGUCGAUUGGCUUAGGCAUACGGAGUUCAUUCCCAGUCUAAGAUCCAAUCAGACCGAGGGUUGCGACUGCAGGAUCGGUAGCAUGAAGAGGGGGACCCGGUCGAUCCUCGACUUACGUAUCCCGCCCUUCUGGCCGACUGAGCGCCCGCAUGCUCGUUUUGUAGGUUGACUUAGGCAUACGGAGUUCAUUCCUAGUCUAAGAUCAGACGGGACCGNNNNNNNNNNNNNNNNNNNNNNNNNNNNNNNNNNNNNNNNNNNNNNNNNNNNNNNNNNNNNNNNNNNNNNNNNNNNNNNNNNNNNNNNNNNNNNNNNNNNNNNNNNNNNNNNNNNNNNNNNNNNNNNNNNNNNNNNNNNNNNNNNNNNNNNNNNNNNNNNNNNNNNNNNNNNNNNNNNNNNNNNNNNNNNNNNNNNNNNNNNNNNNNNNNNNNNNNNNNNNNNNNNNNNNNNNNNNNNNNNNNNNNNNNNNNNNNNNNNNNNNNNNNNNNNNNNNNNNNNNNNNNNNNNNNNNNNNNNNNNNNNNNNNNNNNNNNNNNNNNNNNNNNNNNNNNNNNNNNNNNNNNNNNNNNNNNNNNNNNNNNNNNNNNNNNNNNNNNNNNNNNNNNNNNNNNNNNNNNNNNNNNNNNNNNNNNNNNNNNNNNNNNNNNNNNNNNNNNNNNNNNNNNNNNNNNNNNNNNNNNNNNNNNNNNNNNNNNNNNNNNNNNNNNNNNNNNNNNNNNNNNNNNNNNNNNNNNNNNNNNNNNNNNNNNNNNNNNNNNNNNNNNNNNNNNNNNNNNNNNNNNNNNNNNNNNNNNNNNNNNNNNNNNNNNNNNNNNNNNNNNNNNNNNNNNNNNNNNNNNNNNNNNNNNNNNNNNNNNNNNNNNNNNNNNNNNNNNNNNNNNNNNNNNNNNNNNNNNNNNNNNNNNNNNNNNNNNNNNNNNNNNNNNNNNNNNNNNNNNNNNNNNNNNNNNNNNNNNNNNNNNNNNNNNNNNNNNNNNNNNNNNNNNNNNNNNNNNNNNNNNNNNNNNNNNNNNNNNNNNNNNNNNNNNNNNNNNNNNNNNNNNNNNNNNNNNNNNNNNNNNNNNNNNNNNNNNNNNNNNNNNNNNNNNNNNNNNNNNNNNNNNNNNNNNNNNNNNNNNNNNNNNNNNNNNNNNNNNNNNNNNNNNNNNNNNNNNNNNNNNNNNNNNNNNNNNNNNNNNNNNNNNNNNNNNNNNNNNNNNNNNNNNNNNNNNNNNNNNNUCGGCUUGCGCAUCUCGCCCCUUUGGCCGACUGAACGCCCGUACACUCGUUUCAUGGGUUCACUUAGGCAUACAGAGUUCAUUCCCAGUCUAAGCAUACGGAGUUCAUUCCCAGUCUAAGAUCGGACCGGACCAAGGGUUGCGGUAGCACAUACUGGGCUCGAGCAUGUGCUGGUGCCGCAUUUUUCUUCGUCGGGGCACCAUCGUCGAAGAACCUGACCGACGACAUUAGGGUUCCGACGAUCUGGGGGGCCGAGGGGUGUGCGCACAUGAUGUGCAAUCGGUUCUGGUACUUGGCCCUUAUAUUGGCCCCUUAUCCCCCAUCAAACCUUGAGAACUCACACCCCCUUAAAGAGCAUUUGAGAUUUUACAAGUUUGCUGCAAGUAGCCAUUAAAGUGUUUGAAAUGGGGACACUUUUUUCAAAUGGUCACAAAAUCUUGUACAUUUCGAGCUUGUAGCUGAAUUUUUUUAUGCAUGCCAUCAAAAAUACAAGGAUCAUGUCUACCAAGUUUGGGGCCAAAUCUCCUUCUGAAAAAAUUUAAAAGAAACCCCGAACCGUAAAAAGUUUUGAAAAUCAUGAAAAAUAGAAAACGAGUCGUCUUGCCAUGAAACUUCACGUGAAGGCUUAAGGGACCAUUGUAUGAAUUUACAAGCCAUAAAAAUGGCAUUGGCACGUAGAAAUAAGAGGAUGUGCCUAAACCCACCUACCACCCUAUCGAUCCAUGACUUGCGCAUCCCGUCUCUCUGGCCGGUGUACUGCCCGCUCGCCUGUUCAUUUUGUCGGUUGGCUUAGGCAUACAGAGUUCAUUCCCAGUCUAGGAUCAGACCAGACCAAGGGUUACUGCAGCACAUGCUGGGCCCAAGCAUGUGCUGGUGCUGUAUUUUUCUUUAUCGGGGCACCUUCACCAGAGCAUCGUCGGAGAACCUGACUGACGACAUUAGGGUUCCGAUGAUCAGGGGGCCGGGGGCAGGUGUGCACACAUGAUGUGCGAUGGGUGCUGGCACUUGGCCCUUAUAUUGGCCCCCUAUCCCUCAUCAAACCGUAAAAAGUUUCAAAAAUUAUGAAAAAUAAAAAACGAGUCGUCUUGCCAUGAAACUUCACGUGAAGACUUAAGGGACCAUUGUAUGAAUUUACAAGCCAUAAAAAUGGCAUUGGCACGCAGAAAUAUGAAGAUGUUCCUAAACCCACCUACCACCCUAUCGAUCCAUGGCUUGCGCAUACCAUCUCUCUGGUCGACGUAGUGCCCGCCCGCUCGUUUCGUCGGUUGGCUUAGGCAUAUGGAGUUCAUUCCCAGUCUAAGAUCGGACCAGACCGAGGGUUGCGGUAGCACAUGCUGGGCUCGGGCAUGUGCUGGUGCCAUAUUUUUCUUCGUCGGGGCACCAUCGCUGGAGCAUCACGCGGAGAACCUGACCGACGGCAUUAGGGUUCCGACGAUCGGGGGGGCCGGGGGGUGUGCGAACAUGAUGUGUGAUGGGUGCUGGUACUUGGCCCUUAUAUUGGCCCCCUAUCCCUCAUCAAACCUCAAGAACUCACACCCCUUUAAAGAGUAUUUCAGAUUUUAUAGGUUUGCUGCCAGUAGCCAUUAAAGUAUCUGAAAUGGGGACACUUUUUUCAAAUGGUCACAAAAUCUUGUACAGUUCGAGUUUUUAGCUGAAUGUUUUUGUGCGCGCCAAUAAAAAUACAAGGAUCACGUCUACCAAGUUUGGGGCCAAAAGCCAGACCGAAAAAAUUUUAAAAAAUCCCGAACCGUAAAAAGUUUCAAAAAUAAUGAAAAAUAGAAAACGAGUCAUCUUGCUGUGAAACUUCACGUGAAGGCUUAAGGGACCAUUGUAUGAAUUUACAAGCGAUAAAAAUGGCAUUGGCAUGCAGAAAUGUGAAGAUGUGCCUAAACCCACCUACCACCCUAUCGAUCCACGGCUUGUGCAUCCCGUUUCUCUGGCCAGCAUAGUGCCCGCCCGCCAAUCCGCUCGUUUCGUCGAUUGGCUUAGGCAUACGGAGUUCAUUCCCAGUCUAAGAUCGGACCGGACUGAGGGUUACGGCAAGAGGAUCGGCAGCACGUAGAGGGGGACCCGGCCGAUCCUCGGCUUGUGCAUCCUGCCCCUCUGGCGGCUGAGCGCCCGCACGCUCAUUUCGUGGGUUGACUUAGGCAUACGGAGUUCAUUCCCAGUCUAAGCAUACGGAGUUCAUUUUCAGUCUAAGAUCGGACCGGACUGAGGGUCGCGGCAGCACAUGCUGGGCUCGAACAUUUGCUGGUGUGGUAUUUUUCUUCGCUGGGGCACCAUCGCCGAAGCAUCGCCGGAGAACCUGAUCGACGGCAUUGGGGUUCCGGUGAUGGGGGGGCCGGGGGGGAUGCAUACAUGAUGUGCGAUGGGUGCUGGUACUUGGCCCUUAUAUUGGCCCCAUAUCCCUCAUCAAACCUCAAGAACUCACACCCCCUUAAAGAGCAUUUCAGAUUUUAUUGCUUUGCUGCCAGUCGCCAUUAAAGUGUCUGAAAUGGGGACACUUUUUUCAAUUGGUCACAAAAUCUUGUACACUUCGAGUUUUUAGCUGAAUUUUUUUAUGCAUUCCAAGAAAAAUACAAGGAUUACGUCUACCAAGUUUGGUGCCAAAAAUCCUUCCGAAAUAAUUUUAAAAAAUCCCGAACCACAAAAAGUUUCAAAAAUCAUGAAAUAUAGAAAACGAGUCCUCUUGCCAUGAAACUUCACGUGAUGGCUUAAGGGACCAUUGUACGAAUUUACAAGCCAUAAAAAUGGCAUUGGCAUGCAGAAACAUGAAGAUGUGCCUAAACCCACCUACCACCCUAUCGAUCCACGGCUUGCGCAUCCCGUUUCUCUGGCCGACGUAGUGCCCGCCUGCCCGCUCGUUUUGUCGGUCGGCUUAGGCAUACGAAGUUCAUUCCCAGUCUAAGAUCAGAUCAGACCAAGGGUUGCGGCAACACAUGCUGGGCUCGGGCAUGUGCUGGUGCCGUAUUUUUCUUCACUGGGGCACCAUCAUCGGACGGCAUUGGGGUUCCGACGAUUGAGGGUGCCGGGGGGGUGUGCGCACAUGAUGUGCGAUGGGUGCUGGUACUUGGCCUUUAUAUUGGCCCCUAUCCCUCAUCAAACCUCGAGAACUCACACCCCCUUAAAGAGCAUUUGACAUUUUACAGGUUUGCUGCCAGUAGCCAUUAAAGUGUCUGAAAUGGGGACACUUUUUUCAAAUGGUCACAAAAUCGUGUACACUUCGAGUUUUUAGCUGAAUUUUUUUGUGCAUGCCAAAAAAAAUGCAAGGAUCACGUCUACCAAGUUUUGGGCCAAAACUCCUUCCGAAAAAAUUUUAAAAAAUACCGAACCGUAAAAAGUUUCAAAUAUCGUGAAAAAUAGAAAACGAGUCGUCUUGCCAUGAAACUUCACGUGAAGCCUGAAGGGACCAUUGUAUGAAUUUAUAGGCUAUAAAAAUAGCAUUGGCACACCGAAAUAUGAAGAUGUGCCUAAACCCACCUACCACCCUAUCGAUCCACGGCUUGCGCAUCCCAUCUCUCUGCCUGGCAUAGUGCCCGACCGCCCGUCCACUCGCUCAUUUCGUCGGUUGACUUAGGCAUACAGAGUUCAUUCCUAGACUAAGAUUAGACCGGACAGAGGGUUGCGGCAGCAGGACCGACAGCACGCGCCCCUCUAGCCGGCUGAGCGCCCACACGCUCAUUUCGUUGGUGGACUUAGGCAUACGGACUUCAUUCCCAGUCUAAGAUCGGAUCAGACUGAGGGUUGCAGCAGCACAUGCUGCGCUCGGGCAUGUGCUGGUGCCGCAUAUUUCUUCAUCGGGGCACCAUCAUCAAAGCAUCGCCGGAGAACAUGACCGACGGCACUGGGUUUCGACGAUCGGGGGGGCCGGGGGGUGUGCGCACAUGAUGUGCGAUGGGUGCUGGUACUUGACCCUUAUAUUGGCCCCCUAUCCCUCAUCAAACCUCGAGAACUCACACCCCCUUAAAGAGCAUUUGAGAUUUUACAGGUUUGCUGCAAGUAACCGUUAAAUUGUCUGAAAUGGGGACAGUUUUUUCAAAUGGUCACAAAAUCUUGAACACUUCGAGUUUUUAGUUGAAUUUUUUUGUGCAUGCCAACAAAAAUACAAGGAUCACGUCUACCAAGUUUGGGGCCAAAACUCCUUCCGAAAAAAUUUUAAAAAAUCCUGAACCGUAAAAAGUUUCAAAAAUCAUGAAAAAUAAAAAACGAGUCGUCUUGCCAUGAAACUUCACGUGAAGGCUUAAGGGACCGUUGUAUGAAUUUACAAGCCAUGAAAAUGGCAUUGGCAUGCAGAAAUAUGAAGAUGUGCCCAGACUCACCUACCACCCUAUCGAUCCACGGCUUGCGCAUCUCGUCUUUCUGGCCGACGUAGUGCCCGCACGCUCAUUUCGUUGGUGGACUUAGGCAUACGGACUUCAUUCCCAGUCUAAGAUCGGAUCAGACUGAGGGUUGCAGCAGCACAUGCUGCGCUCGGGCAUGUGCUGGUGCCGCAUAUUUCUUCAUCGGGGCACCAUCGUUGGAGCAUCGUCAGAGAACCGGACCGACGGUAUUGGGGUCCGGCGAUCGGGGGGGCCGGGGGUGUGCGCACAUGAUGUGCGAUGGGUGCUGGUACUUGGCCCUUAUAUUGGCCCGCUAUCCAUCAUCAAACCUCGAGAACUCACACCACCUUAAAGAGCAUUUGAGAUUUUACAGGUUUGCUGCCAGUAGCUAUUAAAGUAUUUGAAAUGGGGACACCUUUUUCAAAUGGUCACAAAAUCUUGUACACUUCGAGUUUUUAACUGAAUUUUUUUGUGCAUGCCAACAAAAAUACAAGGAUCACGUCUACCAAGUUUGGGGCCAAAACUCCUUCCAAAAAAAUUUUAAAAAAUCUCGAACCGUAAAAAGUUUCAAAAGUCAUGAAAAAUAAAAAAUGAGUUGUCUUGCCAUGAAACUUCACGUGAGGGCUUAAGGGACCAUUGUAUGAAUUUACAAGCCAUAAAAAUGGCAUUGGCAUGCAGAAAUAUGAAGAUGUGCCUAAACCCACCUACCACACUAUCGAUCCACGGCUUGCGCAUCCCGUCUCUUUGGCCAGUGUAGUGCUCGCCCGCCCGCUCGUUUCGUCGGUUGGCUUAGGCAUACGGAGUUCAUUCCCAGUCUAAGAUCCAAUCAGACUGAGGGUUGUGGCUGCAGGAUUGGUAGCACGAAAAGGGGGACCCGGUCGAUCCUCGACUUGCGUAUCCCGCCCCUCUGGCCGACUGAGCGCCCGCAUGCUCAUUUUGUAGGUUGACUUAGGCAUACGGAGUUCAUUCCUAGUCUAAGAUCAGACGGGACCGAGGGUUGUGGCAGCACAUGCUGGGCUUGGGCUUGUGCUGGUGCCGCAUUUUUCUUCAUCGGGGCACCAUCGUCGGAGCAUCGUCGGAGAACCUGACCGACGACUUUGGGGUUCUGACGAUCGGGGGGGCUGGGGGGUGUGCACACAUGAUGUGCGAUGGGUACUGGUACUUGGCCCUUAUAUUGGCCCCUUAUCCCUCAUGAAACCUCAAGAACUCACACCCCCUUAAUGAGCAUUUGAGAUUUUACAGGUUUGCUGCCAGUAGCCAUUAAAGUGUCUUAAAUGGGUACACUUUUGUCAAAUGGUCACAAAAUCUUGUACACUUCGAGUUUUUAGCUGAAUUUUUCGUGCAUGCCAACAAAACUGCAAGGAUGAUGUCUACCAAGUUUGGGACCAAAACUCCUUCCAAAAUAAUUUUAAAAAAUCCUAAACCGUGAAAAGUUUCAAAAAUCGUGAAAAAUAGAAAACGAGUCGUGUUGCCCUGAAUCUUCAGGUGAAGGCUUAAGGGAGCAUUGUAUGAAUUUACAAGCCAUAAAAAUGGCAUUGGCACACAGAAAUAUGAAGAUGUACCUAAACCCACCUACCACCCUAUCGAUCCAUGGCUUGUGCAUCUCGUCUCUCUGGCCGACAUAGUGCUCACCCGCCCGCCCGUCCACUCGUUUUGUCAGUUGGCUUAGGCAUAUGGAGUUCAUUCCCAUUCUAAGAUCAGACCAGACUGAGGGUUACGGCAGCAGGAUCGGUAGCACACAGAGAAGGACCCAACCGAUCCCUAGCUUGAGCAUCCUGCCCCUCUGGCCGACUGAGCUCCCGCACGCUCAUUCCGUGGGUUGACUUAGGCAUACGGAGUUCAUUCCCAGUCUAAGCAUACGGAGUUCAUUCCCAGUCUAACAUCAGACCAGGCGAGGGUUGUGACAGCACAUGCUAGGCUCGGGCAUGUGCUGGUGUCGUAUUUUUCUUCGUUAGGGCACCAUCAUCGGAGCAUCGUCAGAGAACCUGACCGACGGCUUUGGGGUUCCAAUGAUCGGGGGGCCGGGGGGUGUGCGCACAUGAUGUGCGAUGGGUGCUGGUACUUGGCCCUUAUAUUGGCCCCCUAUCCCUCAUCAAACCUCGAGAACUCAUGCCCCCUUAAAGAGCAUUUGAGAUUUUACAAGUUUGCUACCAGUAGCCAUUAAAGUGUCUGAAAUGGGGACACUUUUUUCAAAUGGUCACAUAAUCUUGUACAUUUCGAGUUUUUAGCUGACUUUUUUUGUGCAUGCCAAAAAAAAUACAAGGAUCACGUCUACCAAGUUUGGGGCCAAAAAUCCCUUUCGAAAAAAUUUAAAAAAAAUCUCGAACCACAAAAAGUUUUGAAAAUCAUGAAAAAUAGAAAACGAGUCAUCUUGCCAUGAAACUUCACGUAAAGGCUUCAGGCACCAUUGUAUGAAUUUACAAGCCAUAAAAGUGGCAUUGGCAUGCAAAAAUAUGAAGAUGUGCCUAAACCCACCUACCACCAUAUCGAUCCACGGCUUGCGCAUCUCGUCUCUCUGGCCGACGUAGUGGCCGCCCGCCCACCCGCUCGUUUCGUCGGUUGGCUUAGGCAUGCAUAGUUCAUUCCCAGUCUAAGAUCAGAUCGGACCGAGGGUUGUGGCAGCAGGAUCAAUAGCACGCAGAGGGGGACCCGAUCGAUCCCUGGCUUGUGCAUCUCGCCCCUCUGGUCGGCUGAGUGCCCGCACGCUCGUUUCGUGGGUUAACUUAGGCAUACGGAGUUCAUUCCCAGUCUAAGAAUACAGAGUUCAUUCCCAGUCUAAGAUCGGAUCAGACCAAGGGUUGCGGCAGCACAUGCUGGGCUCGGGCAUGUGCUGGUGCCACAUUUUUCUUCGUUGGGGCACCAUCGUCGGAGCAUCACCGAAGAGCCUGACCGACGGCAUUGAGGUUUCGAUGAUCGGGGGGUCGAGCGGGGGGGUGCGCACAUGAUGUCAGAUGGUUGCUGGUACUUGGCCCUUAUAUUGGCCCCAUAUCCCUCAUCAAGCCACAAGAACUCACACCCCCUUAAAGAGCAUUUGAGAUUUUACAGGUGUGCUGCCAGCAGCCAUUAAAGUGUCCGAAAUGGGGACAUUUUUUUCAAAUGGUCACAAAAUCUUGUACACUUUGAGUUUUUAGCUGAAUGUUUUUGUGCAUGCCAACAAAAAUACAAGGAUCACGUCUUCCAAGUUUGGGGUCAAAACUCCUUCCAAAAAAAUUUUAAAAAAUCCCGAACCGUAAAAAGUUUCAAAAAUCGUGAAAAAUAGAAAACGAGUCAUCCUGCCAUGAAACUUCACGUGAAGGCUUAAGGGACCAUUGUAUGCAUUUACAAGCCAAAAAAUGGCAUUGGCACGCAGAAAUAUGAAGAUGUGCCUAAACCCACCAACCACCCUAUCGAUCCACGACUUACGCAUCCCGUCUCUCUGGCCGACGUAGUGCACGCCCGCUCGUCGGCCGCCCGCUCAUUUCGUAGGUUGGCUUAGGCAUACAGAGUUCAUUCCCAGUCUAAGAUUAGACCAGACCAAGGGUUGCGGCAGUAGGAUCGGCAGCACAUAGAGGGGGACCCGACCGAUCCCCGACUUGCGCAUCCUGCCCUUCUAGCCGGCUGAGCACCCAUACGCUCGUUUCGUGGGUUGACUUAGGCAUACGGAGUUUAUUCCCAGUCUAAGCAUACGAAGUUCAUUCCUAGUCUAAGAUUGGAUAGGACCGAGGGUUGCGGCAGCACAUGCUGGGCUUGGGCAUGUGCUGGUGUCGCAUUUUUCUUCACCGGGGCACCAUCACCGGAGCAUCGUCGGAGAACCUGACAGGUGGCAUUGGGGUUUCGACGAUCGGAGGGGCCAGGGGGGUGUGCGCACAUGAUGUGUGAUGGGUGCUGGUACUUGGCCCUUAGAUUUUCCCCCUAUCCCUCAUCAAACCUCGAGAAUUGACACCCCCUUAAAGAGCAUUUGAGAUUUUAUAGGUUUGCUGCCAGUAGCCAUUAAAGUGUCUGAAAUGGGGACACUUUUCUCAAAUGGUCACAAAAUCUUGUACACUUCGAGUUUUUAGCUGAAUUUUUUUGUGCAUGCCAACAAAAACACAAGGAUCACGUCUACCAAGUUUGGGGCCAAAACUCCUUCCAAAAAAAUUUUAAAAAAUCUCAAACCACAAAAAGUUUUGAAAAUCGUGAAAAAUAGAAAACGAGUCGUCUUGCCAUGAAACUUCACGUAAAGGCUUAAGGGACCAUUGUAUGAAUUUACAAGCCAUAAAAAUGGCAUUGGCAUGCAAAAAUAUGAAGAUGUGCCUAAACCCACCUACCACCCUAUCGAUCCCCGACUUGCGCAUCCCGUCUCUUUGGCUGGCGUAGUGCCCACCCGCUCGCCCGCUCGUUUCGUCGGUUGGCUUAGGCAUACAGAGUUCAUUCCCAGUCUAAGAUCAGACCAGACUGAGGGUUGCGACAGUAGGAUCGGUAGUGCACAGAGGGGGACCCGUUCGAUCCCCGGCUUGUGCAUCUCACCCCUCUGGUCGGCUGAGCGGCCGCGCGCUUGUUUCGUGGGUUGACUUUGGCAUAUGGAGUUCAUUCCUAGUCUAAGCGUACAGAGUUCAUUCCCAGUCUAAGCAUAUGGAGUUCAUUCCCAGUCUAAGAUCAAACCAAACCGAGGGUUACGGUAGCACAUGCUGGGCUCGAGCAUGUGCUGGUGCCACAUUUUUCUUCAUCGGGGCACCAUCGCCAGAGCAUCGUCGGAGAACCUGACCGAUGGCAUUGGGGUUCCGAUGAUCGGGGGGACCGAGCGGGGGGGGUGCGCACAUGAUGUGCGAUGGGUGCUGGUACUUGGCACUUAUAUUGGCCCCAUAUCCCUCAUCAAACCUCGAGAACUCACACCCCGUUAAAGAGCAUUUUAGAUUUUACAGGUUUGCUGCCAGCAGCCAUUAAAGUGUCUGAAAUGGGGACACUUUUUUCAAAUGGUCAUAAAAUCUUGUACACUUCGAGUUUUUUGCUGAAUUUUUUUAUGCAUGCCAAAAAAAAUACAAGGAUCACGUCUACCAAGUUGGGGCGAAAACUCUUUCCGAAAAAAUUUUAAAAAAUCUCGAACCACAAAAAGCUUUGAAAAUCCUAAAAAAUAGAAAAUGAGUCGUCUUGCCAUGAAACUUCACGUGAAGGCUUAAGGGACUAUUGUAUGAAUUUACAAGCCAUAAAAAUGGCAUUGGCAUGCAGAAAUAUGAAGAUGUGCCAAAACCCACCUACCACCCUAUCGAUCCUCAGUUUGCACAUGCCGUCUCUCUGGCCGAUGCAGUGCCGGGUCGCCUACCUACCGCUCGUUUCGUCGGUUGGCUUAGGCAUAUGGAGUUCAUUCCCUGUCUAAGAUCAGACCGAACUGAGGGUUAUGGCAGCAGGAUCGACAGCACGUAGAAGGGGACCCGGUCGAUCCUCGGCUUAUGCAUCCCACCCCUUUUGCCGACUGAGCGCCCGUACGCUCGUUUCAUGGGUUGGCUUAGGCAUACGGAGUUCAUUCCCAGUCUAGGCAUACGGAGUUCAUUCGCAGUCUAAGAUCAGAUCGGAUCGAGGGUUGCGACAGCACAUGUUGGGCUCGGGCAUGUGCUGGAGCCGCAUUUUUCUUCAUCGACGCACCAUCGUCGGAGCAUCGUCGGAGAACCUAACUGACGGCAUUGGGGUUUCGACAAUCGGGGGGUCGGGGGUGUGUACGCACUUGAUGUGCGAUGAGUGCUGGUACUUGGCCCUUAUAUUGGCCCCCUAUCCCUCAUCAAACCUCGAGAACUCACACCCCCUUAAAAAGCAUUUGAGAUUUUACAGGUUUGCUGCCAAUAGCCAUUACAGAUUUUACAGGUUUGCUGCCAAUGGGGACACUUUUUUCAAAUGGUCACAAAAUCUUAUACACUUCGAGUUUUUAGCUGAAUUUUUUUGUGCAUGCCAAAAAAAAUACAGGGAUCAUGUCUACCAAGUUUGGGGCCAAAAAUUAUUCCGAAAAAAUUUAAAAAAAUUUUGAACCGUAAAAAUUUUUAAAAAUCGUGAAAAAUAAAAAAUCGGGUCGUCUUGCCAUGAAACUUCACGUGAACGCUUAAGGGACCAUUGUAUAAAUUUACAAGCCAUAAAAAUUGCAUUGGCAUGCAGAAAUAUGAAGAUGUGCCUAAACCCACCUACCACCCUAUCGAUCCACGGCUUGCGCUUCCCGUCUCUCUCGUCGGUGUAGUGCCUGCCCGCCCGCCCGCCUGCUUAUUUCAUCGGUUGCCUUAGGCAUACAGAGUUCAUUCCUAGUCUAAGAUCAGAUCAGACUGAGGGUUGCGACAGUACGAUCGGUAGCAAGUAGAGGGGGACCCAACCGAUCCCCGACUUGCGAAUCCCGCCCCUCUGGCCGGCUGAGCACCCGCACGCUCGGUUCGUGGGUUGACUUAGGCAUACGGAGUUCAUUCCCAGUCUAAGAUCGAACCAGAUCGAGGGUUACGGCAGCACAUGCUGGGCUCGAGCAUGUGCUGGUGCCGUAUUUUUUUCGUCGGGGCACAAUCGCCAGAGCAUCACCGAAGAACCUGAUCGGCGGCAUUGGGGUUCCGACGAUCGGGGGGGCCGGGGAGGGUGUGCGCACAUGAUGUGCGAUGGGUACUGGUACUUGGCCCUUAUAUUGGCCCCCUAUGCCACAUUAAACCUUGAGAACUCACACCGUCUUAAAGAUCAUUGGAGAUUUUACAGGUUUGCUGCCAGUAGCCAUUAGAGUAUCUAAAAUGGGGAUACUUUUUUCAAAUGGUCACAAAAUCUUGUACACUUCAAGUUUUUAGCUGAAUUUUUUUGUGCAUGCCAAAAAAAAUACAAGGAUCAUGUCUACCAAGUUGGGGCUGAAACUCCUUCCGAAAAAAUUUUAAAAGAUCCCGAACCGUAAAAAGUUUUAAAAAUCAUGAAAAAUAGAAAACGAGUCGUCUUUCCACAAAACUUUACGUGAAGGCUUAAGGGACCAUUGUAUGAAUUUACAAGCCAUAAAAAUGGCAUUGGCAUGCAGAAAUAUGAAGAUAUGCCUAAACCCACCUACCACCCUAUCGAUCCACGGCUUGCGCAUCCCGUCUCUCUGGCCGGCGUAGUGCCCGCCCGCCCGCCCGUUCGUUUCGUCGGUUGGCUUAGGCAUACGGAGUUCAUUCCCAGUCUAAGAUCAGACUGGUCUGAGGGAUGCAACAAUAGGAUCGAUAGCACGUAGAGGGGGACCCGGCCGAUCCCGGCCUUAUGCAUCUCGCCCCUUUGGCCGGCUGAGCGCCCGCACGCUCGUUUCAUGGGUUGACUUAGGAAUACAGAGUUCAUUCCCAGUCUGAGCACACAGAGUUCAUUCCCAGUCUAAGAUCGAAUCGGACCGAGGGUUGCGGUAGCACAUGUUAGGCUCGAGCAUGUGCCGAUGUCGUAUUUUUCUUCGCCAGGGCACCAUCGUCGGAGCAUCGUCGGAGAACCUGACCGGCGGCAUUGGGGUUCCGACGAUCGGGUGGGCCAGGGGGUGUGCGCACAUGAUGUGCGAUGGGUGCUGGUAGUUGCCCCUAUAUUGGCCCCCUAUCCCUCAUCAAACCUUGAGAACUCACACCCCCUUAAAGAGCAUUUGAGAUUUUACAAGUUUGCUACCAGUAGCCAUUAAAGUAUCUAAAAUGGGGACACUUUUUUCAAAUGGUCACAAAAUCUUGUACACUUCGAGUUUUUAGCUGAAUUCUUUUGUGCAUGCCAACAAAAAUACAAGGAUCACGUCUACCAAGUUUGGGGCAAAUCUCCUUCCAAAAGAAUUUUAAAAAAUUCCAAACCGUAAAAUGUUUCAAAAAUCAUGAAAAAUAGAAAACGAGUUGUCUUGCCAUGAAACUUCACGUGAAGGCUUAACGGACCAUUGUAUGAAUUUACAAGCCAUAAAAAUGGCCUUGGCAUGCAGAAAUAUGGAGAUGUGCCUAAACCCAACUACCACCCUAUCGAUCCAUGUUUUGUGCAUCCCGUCUCUCUUGGAGGCGUAGUGCCCGCCCGCCCACUCGUUUCGUCGGUUGGCUUAGGCAUACGGAGUUCAUUCCCAGUCUAAGAUCAGACCGGACUGAGGGUUGCGGUAGCAGGAUCGGCAGCACGUAGAGGGGGACCCAGCCGAUCCCCGGCUUGCGCAUGCCACCCCUCUGGCUAGCUAAGUGCCCGCACGCUCAUUUCAUGGGUUGACUUAGGCAUACGGAGUUCAUUCCUAGUCUAAGCAUACGGAGUUCAUUCCUAGUCUAAGAUCGGAUGGGACCGAGGGUUACGGUAGCACAUGCUGGGCUUGGGCAUGUGCUGGUGCCGUAUUUUUGUUCACCGGAGCACC